rnacentral:lncRNA from 1 species
UCAUCCAUCUAGGUUGGUGAUUGAUUCCGCUGCGCAUCUGUAUAUGAGUUCGACAUAGGUGCUGGAACUCAAUUCAUAUCGUUUUUCAAGACGUUACCCCUCGCAAGGUAGUGGCGUUACCAGAUUUAGCGACUACCCACUAGCUGUCUGCAGCCUUUAGCCUAGGUGUCUGUUUGGGAUUAGAUGUUAGGAUGUUCUCGUGCUCUCGGUCUUUCACCCACUGACUAAAGUCGCUGGUGACCUUGUCUGCCUCUAGAUUGUGGCAUGUUUGCCAUCUGUUUCAGUUUCAUAUUUGGGUAUCUUUACUUGCCUUUUUUUUUAAUCUACUUAUGCUAAUUGUCUACAUGAUCAAACUCCUUCCGAACAGAGCAGAGGCUGUUUUGGUUGCUGCGAUAAGACUGUAAAACAACUGGGUGAACUGUCCAGAAACCUAAUCACCCAUGACCAAAUAACCAUUGGAGAGCCAUAUUGGAGCACAACCACCAUCGAGGUUGAACCAGCAGAUCUCAGGGGUGUUUCUCCAAUGAGUACAUCUAACUGGGCCUUUGAUCAGCAUGGAACUGGUAGCAGUCAUAACCUUCCUGGACUUGGUAAUAAUGGUAGGUCACUCUGAAUCAUGUUUUCAGUUCUGCUAAGCUAGGGCAUUUUCACUGGAUCGACAUAAUGCCUCCUUUACUACAAUCUUAACCUUGACUUUGUCCUAGUUUCUCUGAGCUGAGAAAAAAGAAUGUUGGGCUUAGUUUUCUGUGGUUUCAAUGGGAAAUUUAUUUUCAUCGCUUGAUAAAUUGUUCUUAAAAGUACCAUCGCUUGGCAUAAAUCUCAAUAUUCAUGUUGAGCUAUGUCAGGGUUUAACUAUUGCCAGUACCGAGAUCGAUGCAUUACUAUGCUACCAUGUCUUAAUUUUCUGUGGUUUUAAUCAGAAAUUUAUCGAAUAUUUGAAACCACAGUUUUGUUCUGUCAUCUUUCACAACAUAUGGUACAUUUUGCAACUAGAUUGGUAUAUAAGAAACUUUAGUAGGCAGAAGAAAAGGCAGUGCCCUGGUCGUGGGGAGGUUACUUGACCUCUCCAUCCACCCGAGUUUGACAGCUUCAACCAGCUAAGGUGCCAAUGUCCUUUGGUGAAUGCCAUAUCUUCUAAUCAUUUGUCUUUUCCUGAAAGAAUGGGUGAAGAAGUUUUGACUUUUGAUUAGGCAAACUAUUGCCUGAUUGUUAUUCUGAUGUUUGUGCUGGAUACCAUGUGAAAUUGGUGUACCUAUUGAGAACAACCUUAGUAUGGUUGUCUGAAGUUCAUUUUUUUUUUGCAGGACUCAUCCUGUGGGAACAGACUAGGCAGGAGUGGACUGAAAUUAGAAGUCUACGGCCGAAGGUGAAGCAGGUUCGCGAACCAGUAUUGAGGUAUGAGCGAAUGAAAUGAAGACCGCAACCCAAAAAAUUUACCCAUAUCACGUUUCUGUCAGACAAGUAUAUAUUCUAUGAAGUACAUUUUCUUUGACCAAAUGCACUUUGUCCCUUCUUCAUAUUGAAAGCAAAGGGUUAUGCUGGGAUCACCAGCUUUUCAUAUUAAACCUCAGAAUACCAUGCUUGCCUACCAUCAUUUUAGCUUUCAGUAACCAUUUUGUCUGCAUUCUUAUGGAAACAGAGCUAGUAUCCUUUUAUAAUCUAGUUUUAGACGCAUAUUUUUGUUCUCCUGAAGUUUGAAAUCAUUGCGAUAGACCUGUUUUUAUCCAGGUGAUAUUAGUUGUAUUGGUCUUGUUGGAGUUUCUACUGAUUCUUCCAAUUGUGCGCUGUUAGUAUAGUUUAUCACUUCAUUCAUGUUGCGCACUAUAUGUUGCUCAAGCCCAAUGUGUUCCUUUGUGCACUCCGAUUCCAUAAUACUUGUUCAUCAUCCUCACUAGCGUCAUUGGGACCAUUUUCUACACCUACUUUAAUUGUAGGGAAGUGAUUAAGCGAUUGUAAAAUAAUAUUUGAUAAGGUUAUAUUGAGCUUGGACAUACAUACCGUUAAAUGGUUAUUUCUUAUGUGACUUGUAAGUUCUACAGCAUAUUAUCUAGGAAACUUUCAUAAGCAACAAAUAGAGUACCUUUGAAUCAAAUUUGAUGGCAGCUGCUCCUUUUACAAGAAAGAUGCAGAGAACCAGCUAUGAUGUUAGUUUUUUUUUAAGAAGAGCUAUGAUGUUAGUUGAAUCAGAAAGUGGAUAGUCAGUCUUAUUUGUGUGCAAUUUGUUUUCUCUCAAAUAGGUACUAGGUUUUUAUUCCAUUCCCCAUAAUAUGCUGAAGCCAAUAAUGUCUUAUUUUGCUUCUGAUGAUGUAUUUCGUUUGUGCCACCUCAAGAAGCUUUAAGGAAUGCUAUCUUUAUUGAUUGUGGAGGUUUGUGUAAUUGUGCUAAAAAAUCUAUAUUUAUAUAUGCAGUUGGAAUGCAGCAUAUGAGAGUCUGCUUGGAUCAAAUAAGCCAUUUCCUCAACCCAUUCCUCUUCAUGUAAGAUCUAACACAUUUCAGUCUAGCAUUUCUUGCAAGGCAUGCACUCUUAAACAUGGGUCAUGACAUUGCAGGAGAUGGUCGAUUUCCUUGUGGACAUCUGGGAGCAGGAGGGGCUGUAUGACUAGCGCAAAUGAUUUCAUGGGAUAACAUAUCUGGGAUAACACAUAGUUGUUCCUCAAGAGAGGGGAAAAAAGAAUGACAUAGGGUGUGUAGGCUUGAGAUGAGGUGGCCUGUCAUACUUGUUUUUGUCAAUGGAGGCCUGUUGUACUUGCAGAAUACCGAGCUUGUAAUGCUAGAGAAGUCCUGAUACUGAUAGUGGCUUUGUUGAAUUUGUCAAAGAAAGUUGUGAGAGGUUGAGUUGUGACAAAAAGUGCGAUUUGUAUUUGAUUAAGAAGGCUUUAACAGUUAACACGAUGGCAGUUGCGUGUUGGUUCGAGAUGGUUGGAUUAUUCUAAGGAGCGAGGAGUCAUGUAAGUGUCCAGUUCGUGGUGAAUGCAACCUUUGACUGAUCCAGUUCCGGACUGUUAAAAUUCGUUCGUUCUGUAAUGUGAAGUGGCUGUGACUUGUCAUUUUGAUGAAUGAUCUCUCUUGCCAUAAGGAAAAAAAAUGGUUAAUGUGUGCACAACCUUUGAAUAUUGUGAGCACAAUACCCUACUCUGUCGCGAUUGAGAGGCUCCAACGAAACAGGACUAGAUCAGCAUCUACUCUCCUCAAAUCGAACUCCUCAAUUCCUUGGCUUGUUCAUUUGAAAUUAUCUAUUAAAUCUAUCAAUCAUUUAACAAUGUUUUUUUAUAAUAAAUCAGCAAAUAAUAUUUUUAGCCAUGACUUCUCGUACCAAAGGAUUGAGCAGCAGACUCAUUCAUCGAAUCAACUACGGUGAGUGAAUGCCAGGUCUGGCAGCGUGUCCACGUAGACAGCGUGCGCCCGACCCCAAAGCCAAAGGCCAAACUGCCAAAGCGUUGGGGUAUGCCAAGAAAAGGAAAGGCCGAAAGGGGCACGGCGAGAAGUAGUCUGGGCCGAAACCAGCAAAAGGGCCAUCGGCGUUGGGCCCCCGGCAACGACGCGCGGGCGCGGCCCUCUGCGUUCGGCCGGUCCCACCACCAGCUGUAGCCCCCCACUGGCCACCCACCCCCCCCGCCCCACUGCGCAUUCUCACACACACACACAACACUGUGCGACUUGUCCUCGGCGCCUCCGCUCCCCUUUUCCCCUUUUUAUUCGUCGACGCAUACUUGACCCGGCUGUAGCUGUACCGGAGAUAGAGCGAGGGUUCGGUGACGAGAAAACCCCAAUCGCCUCCGCCCCCCCUCCUCUACUCCGGCCGCAGCCGCCGACGUCGCCACGCGCAUUCCGCCGCGCCAAUCGGUAGGGUUCGCCCGCUUCCCCCCCUCAGCGACUCGAUCCCGCUCCCUCCUCGCGCGCGCAUUGCAUCUCGUCCCGCUUGUGUCGUUUUUGAUCUGAUUGAUCCGUGGUGGGUGGGCUGCGUGUGUGGCAGGGUACACGAGAAGGGUUGCGGAUGGAGUCGUCGGCGUCCGCGCCGGCGUCCAAGGGCCCGCGCUACGCGCCGCCGGAUCCGACGCUCCCGAAACCGUGGAGGGGGCUCAUCGACGGCAACACGGGGUACCUCUACUUCUGGAACCCGGAGACCAAGGUUACGCAGUACGAGCGCCCCGUCGCGGCCGUGCCUUCCUCCCCGUCGCAGCCGCCUGGCUACUCCAGGCACGAUGAGAAGCCGAGAAGCAGCGCACCUUCCGAGGUAACAACGCGUAUUCCGAAAAUGUGGCUUUGUGCGAGGUUGAGGUCUGCGAGAUGGUCUUUUUUUUCCUUCUAGAGAACAAAUGUUUGCUACAUUCUCAUAGUAGUCUGUAUUUGGUGCUUCAGCAGCGCUCGGAAGCUGCGGUGAGCCGCCAGCAGUAUGUGCCUCCCUCCGAUAACAGGGCAAGGAAUGAUCACUCGGAGGUGACCUGUUUUUCUCUCGUUACUUCACUAUAUCGAUCGCGUGCUACAUGUCAUCAUUUGCCCUGCAUUCGAUUGCACGGUGUGAUUUAGGUCAAGGUUGCCAGUAGAAGUAUAGUUGGAGGCUAGGAUAUACUCUGCCUGCUGGUCGAUUUCAGAGGUGGAAAUACCUACUUGGUCGAGUUCAGUUGAUAGUGAUGACCUUUCUUGGCUAACGAACUAUUUGUCAAGAGAGAUACUUUUCUUUAGCAACCUGCUUAAGCUGCAUGCACAAUGUAUCUAGUUACAUGUACAUGCAAUGCAUGGUAUUGUUAUUCAUUGGACAUUGCUGUUUCAAAAUAUCAAGGAAGAUACGAUAGUACUGUAGUAGUAAUAGUGCAUCAAAGAGUCAACAUAUGAUCAUAAGAGAGCAAAUCAUAAGCGAUUUACUUUUCUUUGUCCACUCAUAGCAUGCUACCUUGUUUCAGCCACGCUCUGCAUCUGGAGUGAACCUUUCACAAAGUGCUCCAUCCACUAAUCAGGUUUCUCAGGCUGCCAAUGGAAGCCAAAUGUCGACAGAAGCAUAUCGUGCUAAGCAUGAGAUUACCAUUGUUGUAUGUGAUCAACUAAUCCAUUCCUUUUUUUCUGUUUACUCCCUCCAUCCCAAAUUAUAAGAUGUUUUGGCUUUUCUAGAUACCUAGCAUUUGCUAUGCAUUUAGAUAUACACUAUGUCUGGAUACACAGUUAAAGCAGUGUAUCUAGAAAAGCCAAAAUGUCUUAUAAUUUGGAAUAGAGGGAGUACCAUCAAUCACUCUUGUUUUUAUUUAGAUGUUACUUAGAUUUUCCAUUCAUUUUCUUUUAUUAACAGGGCAAUGAGGCACCUGCGCCAUUCAUGACAUUUCAGUCCACAGGCUUCCCAUCAGAGAUUCUAAGGGAGGUAGGUCUACACAAUGUGUAGCAAUAUUAAUGUGCUUUUUUGGAUUCCUUUCUGAUGGGACCAGGUGGCCAUUGUGCAUCCAUUGUAUGUACGCAUGAUUAAACCAAGUUUUCUUUGCAGCAGGCUCUUCAAGUCAACAAUCCAAGUCGUGGUUCGACCUGUUUGUUGUCUUGUGCAGCCUCCUGUGGUUUGAAACAGCUCACUAUUUUGUUCAGUCUCCAACUGCAUGAUGUUUGGCUUGGCUUCUGUGUAACUAAAAAUUGCACAUCACGAGAAGCCUUUUCUCUUUGCUAUAGACUAUAUUAUGAUUUUUAUCCUUACACAGAUAUGGUAUUUAGAUAACACUCAUCUCUGAAGGGUAUCAACCUUUUGCAGGUUCUGCAAGCAGGUUUCUCAGCACCAACUCCUAUCCAAGCUCAGUCAUGGCCAAUUGCUAUAAAGGGUCGUGAUAUAGUAGCUGUGGCGAAGACAGGUUCAGGAAAAACAUUGGGCUAUCUCCUCCCAGGGUUUAUUCUUCUGAAGCGCCUGCAGCAUAAUUCAAGGGAAGGUCCAACAGUAUUAGUUCUGUCUCCAACCAGGGAAUUGGCAACACAAAUUCAAGACGAAGCAAUCAAGUUCGGAAGAUCUUCAAGAAUAUCUUCUACUGUAUGUUGCUUUAUAUUUUCUUAUAUCUGUUAUUAUCAUUACUAAUGCUUUUCUCUGCUUAGGUCUAGAACAUGUGUUGUAUUUUUAAAUGAAUUAACUAAGUUAGCGCCUCUAACCAUAUUGGUUAAUUCUAAUGAAUUCAUAUGCGAGCAUAUGAAAGCUCCAUUUAUGUUUAAUAUAUGUUGUAUAAGAGAUGUUAAUCUAAUUUUUAUUGUUUGAAGUGCUUAUAUGGAGGUGCUCCAAAAGGCCCUCAGCUAAGAGAGUUGGAGCGUGGUGCCGACGUUGUUGUCGCAACUCCUGGGAGAUUGAAUGACAUUUUGGAAAUGAAUAAAGUGAGCCUGCGCCAAGUGUCUUAUCUUGUCCUUGAUGAAGCUGACCGUAUGCUUGAUAUGGGAUUUGAGCCACAAAUAAGAAAAAUUGUGAAACAAAUACCACCUAGACGGCAAACUCUUAUGUACACUGCCACAUGGCCAAAAGAGGUUAGAAGAAUAGCGUCGGAUUUACUGAAUAACCCAGUUCAAGUUAACAUUGGAAACACUGAUCAGCUGGUUGCAAAUAAGUCAAUUACUCAGGUGAGUCAAAAUGUUGUUUUCUUUUUUUUUCAAACCAGAUACUUUGUUUCUGUACUUUGAGGUGGUUUGUUGCACACUGCAGCAUGUGGAAGUCAUCCCACAUAUGGAGAAAUCAAGACGACUUGAUCAAAUCUUGCGGUCACAAGAUCCUGGAUCAAAAAUCAUAAUAUUUUGCUCCACUAAGAGGAUGUGUGAUCAGUUGGCUAGAAACCUAUCACGGCAGUAUGGUGCUUCUGCUAUUCAUGGUGAUAAAUCACAGUCUGAGAGGGAUUCUGUGUUGAAUGACUUUCGAAGCGGCAGGUGUCCAGUACUUGUAGCCACUGAUGUGGCCGCUCGAGGCUUGGACAUAAAGGACAUCAGGUAGGGCUGUGUCUUCGUUGCUUCUCAAUUUUUGAGAGCUUUACCUUCUAAUCAUUUGAGCAACUGUGCCAUAGUCAUUGUAACGCUGAUAAUAAAAUGGUGAAUACACACAUUUUGUAUUCGACAUAAAUUUUUGAAUGUAACCCACUGACAAUCCUUCCAAAAUCUCCUCACAGGGUCGUGGUUAAUUAUGAUUUCCCAACUGGUGUGGAGGACUACGUCCAUAGAAUUGGGAGGACUGGUAGGGCUGGUGCGACAGGUUCUGCCUACACAUUCUUCGGUGACCAGGAUUCGAAGUACGCUUCAGAUCUUGUCAAGAUUUUGGAGGGUGCAAACCAAUCUGUGCCACAACAAUUAAAAGAAAUGGCUCUUCGUGGAGGAUAUGGUGGAAGAUCACGUCGGUGGGCAUCUUCUGAUGACUCUUAUGGUGGUCAAGGAUAUGGUGCUAAAAGAUCAACUGAUAGCUUCAAUAACAGCAGCUUCGGCAACCAGGCUGGGGGUGGUUCAAGCUUUCACUCGAGGUGUGUAUCAGUUGCAGUUUGAAUGCUUCCUUUUAGCCAUGCACAACCCUAACGAGUCAUGAAUUAGCAGCUUCCAUAACAGCUCCAGUGGCAAUCAGUUUGGUGAUACUACGAGCUUUCAUGGCAGGUAUGGUGAAAAUUUCUAUUAUACAUACAUUGUCUUUGGCCCAUCUAUACAUUAUAAUGAACCAUCACAUUACAGCUAUGAUAACAGCAGCCGCAACAAUCAGACAGGUGACAAUGCGAGCUUUCCACCCAGGUGUGUAUAAUUUUUCCUAUUCAGAUGAUUAUUUAGCUGAUGUUUCCCUGUUACAUGAUUAAUUGCUAUCUUUGAUACAGCUCCAGCAACAAUCAGUCUGGGGAUGGUCUCAGUUUUCAUGAAAGGUACUUUAUUAGUCUUUGAGCCAAUAUUUUUACCAUAUUUGGAAUUAUGCAGUGUCAUUUGAAAUUGUGAAGUUUAUAUAAUCUCUGAACUUGUGCUGUCAUUUGGUGCUGUCCGUCUUGUUGAAGCACUGAUCUAAUGGAACUUUUUAGCAUGAAAACAUAAUUAAAUUGGUGCAUCUUUUGUCCUAUUCCGUUUAUCUUCAACAACUAUUAUCACUUUUUGUUUCUUAAGUUUAUUGAAGGAGAAUAUAUAAUUGGUGGAAUAUUGGAUAUAUUGCAUUGGACCUCAUGGGUUGAUUAUAUAGGGUACAUAGGACUAACACCUCACAUGUACACAAUGUGGUACUAUUCCUAUUUACUCUAACUCCUCCCUGCAGUCACAGCGGGAGCACUGCAGAGUCUGGAGAAAUUGACAAAGCUAACAUCCCCUCGUAGUCAUAAUAGUUGAUGCACCCGGUAGCUGUGGCUAGAGAAGAAGCCGAUGAGUCUUCAUGCUAGGCGGUAGCCCUUUGUGCCGUUGUUGAGGUAGCCGAGCGUGAGGGCACAAUAGCUGUGGUCGAAGAAGCUAUGCUGAAGAUGGCCGAGGUUGACGUAGUUGUGGUUGGGUUGCCAUGUCGAUGGAGCUAGGUGCACAAGGGGCACCAUGGUGAUGACGGAGACGCAUCGAAGCAGUCAUCGUGGGAGGGGGAGAUGUCGAAGUUGACGUAGCCAGGGCCAUCGUAGACGAGAAGAAAGGCGACGAUGGAAUUGAGGUAGACGAGGGUCGAUGCCGAAGUCGAUGCAGUCAAAGCCGCCUGAGCACCGAGGCGUAGCUAGAUUUGCCAGAUCCAACAACACGUUAGGGACGAAAGCAUGCAUCGGUGUUGCCAAUACGGGUGUACAAGGGAGAGGGCCCCAACCGUGUGGUUGUGCUGGACGAAGAAGAAGCAAUGUGGGAGAAGACGCGUCGGCGAGCAGGUCUCAGCGACGAUGCGUGUAGCAGCAGCUUGAUGACAAAGAGUCAAAGACCCAAUCAACUGGACGAAGACCUUGUCAGACGGAUGGCGCAACAGGGAUUGCGUAGCACAGUGGUAGAUGCACAAUGAUGGCGAUGUAGAUGCGGACACACGGGCGACGGUGCUGCAGCCCGAUAAGGUGACACAGGAACAACCUUGUUGCUCAGCGCAUAAUACUCGGAGACAAUGUCGAUGAAGUCGAUGCCAAUGCCAGCAUGCGAGGCCGACGGCCAGUGGGCGACUCAAUCUCGAUUAGUGAUUGGGCAAACCAAAAAGAUACAACAACAAGAGAUCGGGUGUACCCAGCGAGACGACAUGGCGGCAGCGGUGUGACCCGAUUGGUCAGUGCAAGGCGCACGGCGGGUCACAGACGUGUAGGGUCGAAGGUGACGACGGGGAUCGACGUGGUCGAGAUGGGCACAUUCGCCUGACAACAACGACACGUCGGAUCUGUCUGCCUCCAUGGCAACGCAAGGUCAGGGCGUGUGGCUGGGCUUGACUGUCAUCCCGACGGCAUGGGAUGGGGCGAGAUCCAUCUGUCCAUGCGACGAAGAUCAGGUGUUGAUGGCGACAGCGACAGUCCGACAACGACGUAGGGGAGAUCCCGAUCUGCUGCGCGACAACGACGAUGGCAGCCGGAUCAAUAGGAUCAGACGCCUAAUCAGGACGCUGCCCCCAGCAGAGAUCAACCUUCCCCUGGGGGCACGUGGUGUGGAAGCUGCGGCGGCUAGGGUUAGAAUCUAAAUCAAGGCGAAUGAUACCAUGAAGGAGAAUAUAUAAUUGGUGGAAUAUUGGAUAUAUCGCAUUGGGCCUCAUGGGCUUGAUUGUAUAGGGUACAUGGGACUAACAUCUCACGUGUGUACAUAAUGUGGUACUAUUCCUAUUUAUUAUUCCUAUUUAUAUAAUGUGACAGCAUCCAUGAAGAAGAAUCUCAUCUGUCUGUAUCCUCCGUUCAAUUGGCAGGUUCUAUGGAUCACGUGGAAGGGACCAGAGCAAAACAAGCAAUGAUGGAUUCCGUGCAAGGAGCAGAAGUCCUCCUGGCAAGCCCGUGGGAGUUUCCAACUGGUGAUUGCAUCCACUAGGUGCAAUCCAAUUUUCGCGAUGGUGACGAAACCAAGUAGAACUGUAGAAGAUGGUACCCUAACAAGUUAUAUUAUUUCCUUUUCUUAUCCUGCUUAAAUCCAAGAAUUUCCUGGAACAUCACUAACUUAGGAUAUGGGUGAUGGUCUGAUCCCUAAUGGUCACCUGCUAUUUUGAUUUGACGCCUGGGAGUCGCCUGAUUCCGUACCAUAUGCCUGUGGUCGUAGGUUGUAAAGCGUUAAAACUUGACUUUGCUAAGUAUACCUAAUGCUAUGACCCAACCCUGGGUAAACAAGCGCAUUGGGAUGAAUUUUGGACAAAACCAUGGACAACUGAUAUUUUAAUGUUAUGUACAAUCUAUGUCGAAGACUGUUUGUAAAUGCUGCCCGCAUGGUUUUAUAUUGAAUUGAGCGCACGUUAUUACAUGUGUUGAAGGAUCAUCCUACACGUAUGUGACUCUGCUCAUGCGAGUUUUGUAGCCGCUACAGAGGCUGCUCGGUUUGGACCUCGGAAUCUCAACAAGUUGCACUUGUAUAUGUAUCAUACUGCUUCUGCCCAUGCGUCAGCGUCUUGCUGAUUUGUGUCGCGUGGACUGCCACACAAUGACGUAGACAGCUGUUUGCCGUGGUUUGGACUAAUCCUAAUAAUCAUAUAAUAUGGCUAGAGAACACCACGUCCAUGUCUCGUGAAACUUGAGAAUAUAUUCGUUCAUGGUUCUUGUAACUCUGCAAAUAGCUGUUGCCUGUUCCCUGUGGUACAAGUGUACAACUGGGUAGAAACAAUGCUUGUUCGUAUCGUCAUUGAGAUUCUAAUCUUGAUCAAAUCUCUAUACCUCAAAAACCUGUAAUUUCUCAUGAACUACUGUAAUCUUUUUCAUCCCUGCUUAUGCAUCCUUUGGCUUCUUGGUUCUCGUCAACCUAGAGUAAAGGAAAACACCUGCUAAUGCAGCACCAGUUCCUGUAGGAAGAACAACAAAAAUCAGACAGCAGUGAGUUGGUUAGAAGUGAUUCUGCUGCAGCGGCAGUAAUGAAUUCUUUUGGGGGGAAUCGAUCAAAGUUACCUAGUGCAUUGACAGGCGAAAUAGGGGUGCUGAAGAACAGAACGGAGGAGACGAUCACAACCACACGCUUUACGCAGUUGGCGACGGAGUGUGUCACCGGUGACACUCGCGACAAGAUCAAGUACGAGAGCUGCAAUUGCAAGGGAAGACCAUGCGUCAAGCACAAGUUUUCUUCUUGGAGGCGAGAAAGAGGUAAAGAUCCCAUGGGGACGAAGACCUUUGGUUAUCUCCUCACCUUCUGAUAGCCAUGGAAGCACAGACCUGCGAGUGCUGCUCUCACGCAGAGCUCUUGGAGGUUCAGGCCCUACAUGAUGCCAAAACAAGAUUAUGGUAAGUUCGUUGUUUGUAGAGCGAUGACACAGCUGAUUAUUGAAGUAUAUAUCUUGUCUUGUCUGAUUUUUGAAACGCUUACCGUGCUCUGGAGGUAUCCUGGGGUGAACUUGAUGCCUUCGGCGAAGAACAUCAGAGGGCAAGACAGCAGAAACGACAGUACAGUGAUCACCGAGAAGAGAUUUAUGUCAUCCAUAACAUCCUGCAUCAGAUUGGACAAUUUUUACUGUUAUUACAGUUCACCGACCGUCGGUAUUAUUAAUCUGAGAUGAAGGAAAACUCACCUUGUCACCGGCAAGGAGUUUCUUGCUGAGGACGUUCCUCGAUUGGUUGGUCAGAUUGGACGCCAUGGCGCUCCAAAACCCGGUCCUGAUUCCCAGACAAAAUUACAGAGUCAACUGUCAAGAUUCCUCCAAUCAUUUGAGUCCCAACAGCAAAAAGGCCAAGAAUCGCUUGGUACUACAGUACGAUCCAAAGAUUUUCCAAUAGUAGGCAAUAGGUAGCGGGCACAGCACUGACCAGUUGAAAGAAACUUCGGUGAAUGAAGCCAAGGCGACGCCGCCAACGAUCGGCACGAGCGAGCCCAGCACCGGCAGGGAAGGGACCUGCAUACCAAACAUCGAAUGAGAACUGAUCACAGAUUCCAGUUUUCUUCUUGUUUCUUGUUGAUUCCAUUCCAUUCACGGCGGAAUCGGCGAGAAUUCGUUUUGCCUUUUCAGGAAUCAGGAGGUGCGAGUAGGACGGUGGCGAACCUCGCCGAGGAAGAGGGCGGAGAGGACGACGGUGAAGAAAGGCUCGGAGGCCUUGAUGGUGUGCGUGAAGGAGACGGCGACCUUGCCCAGGCUCAUGUUGGUGAACACCGUGCCCAGCAUGUGCCCCACGGCCAGCGGCGCGAUCUUGCCCAGCUGCAGCCGCAAAAGUUGUACUACGAAUCAGCAAACCACCAAGGGAAGGGGGGAAACGAGAUUGCAGCCGUCGCGGCGAGAAUGGCCUCACCUGCGCAGCGGAGAGCCUGGGCACCGGGUGGAGCCUGGUGGCCCACAUGAGGAAGAUGAGCAGGGAGCCGAACGCGAGCUGGAAGGCGGUGAUGGUGUACGGCAACGGCAACGGCAGCGCGCCGAGCACCUGCAAUGGGGGGACGGAGACGGGCCCGGUUGGUAUUGAUCGAUCAAGCGGGAAGAAGAGGGGGAGGGGAUCUUGAGAUCACUCUCGAGAUCGAUGCUGCGGUGAACGGGACGGACAGACAGACCUGCUUGUUGUAGAUGUUGAAGUAGAUGUUGAGCAGGUACCACGCGACGAUCAUGGCGCCCAGCUGCGCGGUGGCCGCAAUGCCGCCGCGGUCUCCCGUCACCGCGGCGGCACUAGCAUCGUCCGCCGGCACCGAUGCCGCCGCCGCCGCAGCCACCGCCUUGGCGACCUCCCCAUUCUUGCCACCGCUAUCGGACAGCAGCGACAGAGGCCUGAGCCGGCCGUCGCCGCCGCGGACGCGGAGGAGCGGCAACCGCUGGGCCGCGGCGGUGGCGCCGCGGGGCCCGAAGAAGGAGGAGGACGAGGAGGCGACGCCGACGUGGCGCGAGGCGAGGCCGCGCGUGGCGGCCCGAGUCCAAGAGGAGGCUCCGGAGACAGAGGUCGUCCCGGCGGCCGCCGCGCCCCGCUGCAUCAUCAUCUUUGCCGCGGCCUUGUCGCGAAACGGUCGCCGCCCCCGCCCGCGCUUAAAAUACCACUCGUGGUCCCGUCCCGUCCCGUCGCGUGCGCUACGGAAAACGAAAAAAAAAAGGUGAUGCCCCGGGUGAAUCUUCCCGUGAUCCCGUACUCGUUCGUCCCUGUACGACGACUACGAGUAGUGAGCCACUAGUGAGACGACGCGAGACCGCAGUGGCAGGUUGGCAGGGGCAGCGGCAGAGUCGCAGAGCACAAUUGGGACUUGGAUGCGUGGCGGCUUUCUUCGUCCGGCCUUCGCAGUUGGACAGUUGGUCGUGUCGAUGUCGGCGGCGGCUGCUUGACCCUGUUGGAUCGGCCACAUGUUCCAUUUUGCUCCGAUCCAGAAAGUGGCGUCACCGGUGAGGUGAGCUCGGGAAUACACGCUUGAUGUUGAUGCGCGGAGAUAAACGGUCGAGAUCAGGCACAUUAUAGUGCGUGGACGCCAUUUUCAUGCCUGCUGGCCGUCUCAAUGAUGCAACGUACUGCCACAAGUUCUUCAGCCAGAAUUUAGUAGGACGACUUAUACAGCAUAUUUAUUGUGCAAAGAAUAAUAGAGCGCGCACCCUUUUUCUGGCCUCAGGUAGUCAGGUUUGCAGCUACCAGCAUCGUCAGUCGUCAAUAAAAAGAAGUCGCUACAUGGGAAUAAAUAAGGUCCGUUAGGGGACAUCAUUUUCAUCAUUCCUCUAAAGAUAAAGAAGAUAGAAGUGGGGGGGGGGGGGGGGGGGGGGGGGGUUCUGAAAGAGAGGACGCAUCUCCAUGAUGAUAAGAAGGCGACGCGGGGUAACAGACGUGCAUCGCGCGAGCUGCCGGAGACAUUCAUGGAUGCCCUCUCGUGUGAUCAGAGGUCGCCUCGUCGGUAAUGUUGUGAUCUGGAAUGAACCCGGCGGCGCUUUCGCUGCGAUAGUGGGUGGAUCUCUUGCUUUCCGCGAACGGGGCCGGCGAUAAAGAGGACGAAGCCCCGGUGAGCCAUGGGAUGGGAAUAUAAAGAAUGCCAAAGCGAGCGCGGCGCGGGUGGAAUCGACCGAGAACGCUGUCGUGGCCGGUGCCCGUGCAGUGGAGGAUGACGCGCGCCCCUCAGACGGCGACCGCCCCGCCGAAGGGGACGACGACGACGACGACGACGGGCCCGAAGGCAGGCCUCGGAGCCCAAAGCAACUGGUCUCACGCUUCGAGCAGCAUGGAGGCCCAUGACUCAGACUAGUGGCCGUGGUGGUAAAGGCCCACAUGCCAUUUCGGCCCGCCUAACUAACCGGGGCGCACGCUUUCGGCAGUUGGGAACAACGAACGGGGUGGGUGGGUUGGGGUCAUCGCCGGCCGGUGGAGUUGCUCCUGGACUGACUGGAUCUGCCGCCCGGUGGUAGCGCGCCGCCGAGGAUGGCGCGGGCGGAGAAGAGGCGCGCCGCGAGCACGGAGGCGGCGGAGAUGCCAGCCAGGUCGGCGGAUCACCGGAGGGCGCUCUACUUCGCCGCGUUCCUGGUGCUCGCCGACGCUGCGCUCGUCGCCCUCAUCAUCGCCUUCGUCCCGUGUCUGUAGCUCCGAGCGCGUAGCCUCAUUAUUGCUCAGCUCUCCUCCUUGUGUCCGCGUUACCGCAGCUAAGCGGGUCUGUUGCUUCUACUUGCAGAUACCAAGAUCGACUGGGACGCCUACAUGUCUCAGGUACUAGCGCAGAUCGCCGAUUUUUGUUUUGUUUCACCUCUGUUUUGGUUCAAGAGCUUCGAAUUUGGGAUGGUGGUGUGAUCUUGGUGGCUGCUUCUGGGGUGUGUGUGUGUGUGUGUGUGUGUGUUUGCUGCUGCGCUAGGUGGACGUUUUUCUGGAGGGGGAGAGGGACUACACCAAGAUCGAGGGAGACACAGGGCCAUUGGUCUACCCGGCCGGCUUCCUCUACAUCUACUCCGCCAUUAAGUUCCUUACCGGAGGCCAUGUCUUCCCUGCUCAGGUAACCGCACAACCAAAUAUGCUUACCAGCAACAACUCGUUUGUUCUGACACUCUCAUUAUGGUCAGAAGAUGCCUGGCUGUGCUUAAGACUGAUGAGUUCUUGGGGUACUUGUCUGCAGAUUUUGUUCGGCGUAUUAUACAUUGUCAACUUGAGCCUCGUUCUUCUGCUUUACGUCAAGACCGAAGUGGUAUAGUUGUGCAAUUGAUCACUCUUUUCUAACCUCUGGUUCUGCUUUAGUUCAGGGAUUCACAUCUAAAACUGUCUUUUCCUUAACCUUUGUUUAGCUCAGCAAAGAUAAUUUUGACAAACUGAUUGAUAUAAUGUCAUGACGACUCAUCUAGAAACAAUCAGUGUUUAGUUUAUCUAUGGUAAUAUCUGUAGUGUUGGCUAUUCUUGUCUAAAACAAUCUUUUCUUCACUUCUGCAACACCGCAAGGAUAAUUCAGUAACUGGUAGUCUGGUAGGCUGUUAUGAUGACCCAAAGUUUCUUCAAUUAAGCCUGUAAAACAUCUGUGUGGCCAAGUUUCCAUGACAUUGUCUGUUGUUUCUGAUUCCUCCCUAUCUCUCAAUAACGAUGACAGCUUCCAUGGUGGGCUUUAGGUUUGCUUUGUUUGUCCAAGAGGGUUCACUCCAUAUUUGUUCUCCGCCUUUUCAAUGAUUGCUUCGCCAUGACAUUGCUUCACGCUGCUAUGGUACUGAUCAUAUAUCACAAGUGGUACCUUGGUCUAAUAGUUUUCAGGUGAGCAUGACAGUAUGGCAGUAUAUUGCAUUUAUCUUCUGCUUUGUUUUAAUAUGACCUUUGCUUUGUUUUAAACUGAAAGAGAUACGUAGAAAGUAGCUGCUCAUAUUCAUUUACCAUUUCUUUUUUCAGUGGAGCUGUCUCAGUUAAGAUGAAUGUCCUUCUUUUCGCUCCUUCUUUGCUUCUACUGAUGGUCAAGGUACACAUUUCAACAGCACCAUGCUUAUAUCUUUUUAUCCUUCGAACUGUUACCCUUACUAAGUUGUUUGUACAGGCCAUGAGCAUCAAAGGAGUCUUCUUUGCCUUGUUGGGAGCUGCUGUUGUACAGGUACAUUGUUUCUUUUUAUUAAUUAAAAACACUCAUCCUAUUCCACUAUUUUCAAUGUGUUAAAAUGGUCUUCUUGUACCACAUAUUAUAUCGGUUUGACUAUGCUUGGCAGUUUCUUCUAUUUCAAACUGAAUGCUGCAAGGUCUUUUGUAAUCCCUUUAUCCUUAAACUCCAUAGUGAUAUCUUCCAAGUUCCAAUAGCAUGCCACAGAGCUUAAAUUCACAACUUGUUGUAUCUUCUGUUAUUUUUUCUCUUUAACAUGCAGCAAAACUCUGCAGCGUUGUAUUGAAGAAAUUGUACCUUGUUUUAUGAUAUAAAUUUUCUGUUAAAUGCACAUAUCAUGGCCUGAGGUAAACGUGAGCUUGUCUAGUUUGUCUGGGGUUAGAUGUAGAUGGAUACAAGGUAUCACACAGUUUAUACUAAUGAUUUACAUUUCCCAUCUGUAGGUUUUGUUGGGUAUGCCAUUCUUGCUCUCACAUCCAGUUGAGUACAUCUCAAGAGCAUUCAAUCUUGGCCGUGUGUUUAUCCAUUUCUGGUGUGUAUUUCAUGAAUUUUGAACCACUUCAGCAGCAACAUCAUGACAUAUGUAUCACACCCUAGACGUGACUGUAAUUAUGCACAGUGUUAAUUGUUUUAUAUUUUUCAGGUCUGUGAACUUUAAAUUCGUCCCAGAGAAGGUGUUUAUAUCGAAAGAGCUUGCUAUUGCGUUGUUGAUUCUUCACCUCACCACCCUUCUGAUAUUUGCACACUACAAGUGGUUAAAGUGAGUACUCACCAAUCAUGUUAGGUGUAAUGAGUUAGAGGGUGUUUGGUUGGGGUGUUAAAGUUUAACAGGUACUGUAACAUUUUCGUUUUAUUUGGCAAUUAGUGUCCAAUCAUAGACUAACUAGGCUUAAAAAAAUCGUCUCGCAAAUUAUUCUCUAGUUGUGUUUUUAGUUUUGUAAAUAGUCUAUAUUUAAUAGUUCAUGCAUGUGUUCAAACAUUCGAUGUGAUAGGCGGUAAAGUUUACCGCCUCCAACCAAAUAGGGCCAAGCAAUGAUGUACAGUCAUUUCAAUAGUCCAAUCUUCACUCAAUGCUUUUCUUUCUCUAGUAUAUCCUAUUCCUAUUCUUUCUAAGAAUAUUUUCAUCAUUGCAUGUUUAUAAAUUAAAACUGUAUCCGUAUGUCUGAGGAGAUGCUAGGGUAUUUUAUAAUGGUUAUGCUAGCGCAUAAUAUUCUUCUACAUUCACUGACAGGCAUGAAGGAGGUCUAUUCGGUUUCUUGCAUUCCAGAUUUAAAGAUGCCAAAUCAAUCAAACAGCUUGUUUCCAGCCGGCCCAGAUCAUCCAUUCUCAGCAUAGAACGUGUGUUAAACCACAAUUCUCAAACUAAUCAUAUCAUUCCGAUCUAUGCUUUGCUGCUGAACUAACUAGAUAUGUACAACUUGAAUCCAGAUAUUGUAACUGUUAUGUUUAUUGGCAACUUCAUUGGCAUUGUGUAUGCCCGAUCAUUACACUACCAAUUCUAUUCCUGGUAAGCACAGGCUCUCCUCAGCAUCAUUAAUGUUAUGAUUAGUCCUCAAUAGAUUUGGCUUGUUGUUUGUGAUUGUUGUUUGUGAAUGCUAUAAUCCAAGUUUGCUCGUUCUUCUGUGCAGGUACUUCUAUUCCUUGCCUUUUCUAUUGUGGAAAACACGUUUUCAGACACCUUUGAGGUAACAUACUGUCCCUUAAUGUAUUUAUGUUACACACUUGCAGCUUGUGAACUAACCAAACAUGAUUUAUGUUGAUAGAAGUGUCUACUUCCUUUUUUAUUAACAUUAAGUGCAUUCUUCUUCCCCUUUUUCUGAAACUAAGAUGAUGUCUCUAAACAGCGCACUGGUUCAAGUAUUCAUUUAUUUGGUUUGCAAUCUUAUUGCACUUCCCCUCAAUUUCAGGAUCAUUCUAUUUCUCGCUGUGGAGUUCUGCUGGAACAUUUACCCUUCUAGUGCCUAUUCAUCACUCCUUUUGCUAUUUUCGCACUUGUGCAUUUUGUUUGGUAUAUGGUUUGCACCUGCUGAGUACCCCUAUGUCAUCAAUAAAGAGACAUAACAGACAUGUCAAGAAGUUGCAAAGCUAGACUUCCCUGCAAAAAUAGUAUUAUAAUCUUUGAAGGCAGCAGUCAGGAUACAAGCAAUGCCAAAGGCUUCUGGAAAUUGCAAUGUAUUUUGGUAUGCCAAUACUCUUAGGAUUAUUUGACCCAAAUUUCUAGAGUAGCAUCUAGACAUACCAAAAUGUCCAUGUGUAACUUCUUAACAUAGAUGAUAGCUACUCUAACUAUAAGAGUAACUAUGGUUGGGGACUUUCCCAGGAUCUUGUUCUAUCAUCUUGCUGGUCUCCUUUAGCCAUCAAUGUUACAUUGAUAUCUUAAAAAAAGAUUCUAGACAUGUAAAGCAAUAUAUGUUAUUAUCAAGAAAGCGGUUGUGGCCGUGCAUAUAGCUCGAAUGGCUUGGCACACAAGGACUCAGACCCAAGGACUCAGAGGUUAUACUGGUUCAAACAACAUGCUCUACGUACAGUGAGUGGUGUCCGAUUGUAUUUCUGAGCUCAAGGGCCAAAAUUUGCAAUAAGGGUUACAAAGUGACGGUAUGAGAGUGUUUGUGGAUCACGAGAGGAGUCUAGAGAGCCUAGAACUGUCAGAGAGAGCGAAAAGAGAUCCAUGCCUCACCUAGCCACGCAAAAGGUUAAGGAUGGAACGGUUGCUCUACGUCAACUAGCCACGCUGGAGUCCCGAUCAUCUUUAGGCCUUGUUUAGUAUCUAAAAUUUUUCGAGAUUCUCCAUCACAUUAAAUCUUGCGGUACAUGCAUAGAGUAUUAAAUAUAGAUAAAAAAAAGAUGACUAAUUGUACAUUUUACAUAUAAUUUACAAGACGAAUAUUUUGAGCCUAGUUAAUCCAUAAUUGGAUAAUAAUUAUCAAAUAAAAAUAAAAGUGCAGCAGUAGCUAAAUCCAAAAUUUUUGCUGAACUAAACAAGGCCUUAUCCACUCUGACCACAUACUGUUGUGUCUCGUCCUAUUUGUAUAGGAACGGAAGUUUUAGGCCUUGUUUACUUCCGAAAAGAUUUUCGGAUUUCGGUACUAUAAUAUUUUCGUUUUUAUUUAACUAAUAUUAUCCAAUCAUGAACUAACUAGGUUCAAAAGAUUCAUCUCAUGAUUUACAGGCAAACUAUGCAAUUAGUUUUUGUUUUCGUCUAUAUCUAAUGGUUCACGCAUGUGCUCCAAGAUUCGAUGUGACGAAGAAUUUUGAAAAGUUUUCGAAAUUUGAGGAAUUUUGAAAAGUUUUUGAAUUUUGAAAAGAUUCGAUAUGACCAACUUACUAAUUUCAUUUUUGUAGAUGUACCUAACACUAAAAGAUUGUUCCAUAAUACAAAUUGUGCGGAUAUAAACAUAAAGAGAAAGGUACAACCGCUCUACAACUUCAAAGCUGGUUUCAUAUUUACAUACAUGCAAAAGAUUACAAAGGAUUUUUCAUACUCCUAAGUCCUAAUUCAAAAUAUUGCUUGUCUAUUUGUGAUGUUUGUGAAGUAUGAUUUUUCAUACAACCUAACUUGGUGAUGUUUGUGAAUUUUUUAUAUAACGUGGACAUAGGCAAUUCUUGGUGGUGAGCUGAACCAUGAGAUAAAUCACAUGUCUUCUCUCUUGUGUUAGGAAUUGUGUUAUUUGUGUUCCAUUCAAUCUACUUGGUUGUGCGUGUUUGUAGAUGCAAGUUUGAGUUUGAUUUCUAGGCGGGUAGCUUUUGUUGAGCUCUCUAUGUAGUGCAGCAAUGCUGCAGCAUUGCACGGAAGUGCGUGACAUAGCAGUUCAACGACCAAGUCUGGUGGUGCCGUGCUUGUUACUAACCGCUUUAUUGCACUUAAAUCAUACAUAUUCACCCCUUCUCUAAGCAACAUCAAGAUACUUUCAGCACAUUGGUCCACUUAACAAGCUUAAGGACCUGGAAAUACGUUUUCAAUCAUUGACCUUAGUGGCACCCUUUGACAAAUUCAGGGACCACUCAUGCAUUUAACUUAUUAUUAAGUCUAUAUGAAAUAUGUCUUGACAAUGUGUUAUUUGAACUCAUAGAUGUUAAUAUAUAUUUAAAAAUGGUUAAAGUUAAAGAAGUUUAACAACAAAACCAAAGUAAACUAUAAUUUAGAAUGGAGGAGAUAUAAAUUUAACUUCUAUGUUUAAUUUGAGGAAUGAGUAGUAUAUGGAUCCUAGUAUUUCAUUGUAAGAGUAUAAUUUAAACAGUGAGUCAGGUAGACAUCUGUCUUAUCCAUCUAGCAUUCAAAAUUAUCAUCAUUUUGCCUAACUGCCUCUAUGGGUGUUUGGAUCCAAGAGAAUUUAUUAUACCAAUUAGAAUGUCCAAAUAAGAUGGUAAUAAGAGCUAAUGUGGGCUAAUUUGUGGUUAGAGUCCAUUAGCCCUUAUCAGACCACAAUUAACAAGAUGGGCUAAUUUUUAGCCUGGUAUCCAAAUAGGCCCUUAAUUUGUUAAAUGAUAACUUCUACAAGUUUUGAUCAAUAAUUAGUUAAAUUAUAUACUACCUCCUGUCAUUUUUAUUUGACGUUCCAGACAACGUUCUUCACUUCAUUGGUAGUUUUCAUUCUGAAAUACAGAGGUUAAUGGACGGAGGGAGUAUAAUUAGGUAACAUCUGCAUUUCAUUCCAUUCAUAUGGACAAUGGUUACUGAUUGUUUGCUUCAUUGCUCGUCUUCAGUGACGCACGUGCCAGAAUCCUAGAACGUUCAGGUGUAGUAGUACGUACUUACUUGUGGCAACGUGAGAGAAAAAAAAAUCAUUUUGAUUCCUUGCGGUUGCAAAGGCAAAUCGACACAAGCAAAUGAUUGUGUUGUGUCCUCUACCCAUCCAAUGGUCCACCCAUUCCAUUCCAAGCAAGCGGUCGAUCGGAAAUACUUGGGCUCCAUGCCUCCAAGCAAGCGUCUCCAGAUCACCUGCCCCGCGUGGUUGGUUGGUUCUCAUCGUCGCGGUUUUGUUUCUUUCUUGGUUGGUUCGUCCACUUCUCGCCCUUCACCGCCUGUGGCUGUGGCUGCUGCUGCUGCUGCUCUGUAUGAGAGACUGUAUGUGUGUGUGACAGUGACAGGUGGGAGAGGAGGCGCCAGACGCGAGAGGCUUCCCGAGGUCUCCGCCGGGCGCCGGCACAAGUCCACCCACCGGCACUUUGACUGGGAGUUGGAGAUUCUUGCGUGGAACUGGCAGGGAUCUGCUGCCCAUCCAUAUAUUGUAAUUCACUAAUAUACGCUCUAGAUUUUGGCUAUCAUUUUCUGAUCCCGCGUCCUUUUUUUUUAUGCGGAUACACUGAUGCGCACAUGUCUGAUGUCUCCUCCCUCGAUCUCAAUCUAGAGGCUGCAACAGUUCAGUAGGCGGAGGAAGGCGCAUCACACGAACAAGGUGGAAGGAACCGGACGGAGCUUGGACAAGGACAAGGCGACCGGGCAAGGGGAGUGGUGGACUGGUGGUUAUCGGUUUCUCCGUUAACCACUCUGUCCGAUCCGCCGGUGUGUCCGAAGUCCGACCGAUCCUCCCGUGCGCGACCCUGUCGACGAAUCAAUCGCUGGUAUACUCAUCUUAGUUCCCCCACUUCAUCUUCUUUUCUCAGACCAUAGGUUUCAUGAUGCCCCCGCUUCGUUGUUCGUUUGUUUCGUGUGUGCGCGUCAAUGGAAGAAGUGGAAAGGUUGCAUCUUCACCUUUUGCGUGGGGUACCCAGGUCGGCCAGGUUAUGAAUCUCUGAAUAGUGUGUUGGUGGCCCUCGCUUUCUUCGGCCUGUUCUUUUGCCUGUGCUUUUAUCUACUCCUAUUUGCGGUAUUUGGCAAUUAAGAUUAGGAUACAUGUAUGCGUUGAUCUCUCUCUUUGCCGGCAAGGCAAGGAGAAAAGUGAUUCUUUUUAUUCUUAUAAGUGGACUGGCGCAAGUAUAGUAUCAGAUUUAAUGAGAACGACGAGGACAGCAAACUUAUAUAAUGUCUUGCUGAUAUAUGAUGGCAGGGACGAUUAGUUAAGCAUUCCAAUCCUCAGCCAUGGCCGUGGACACUACCCAACCGGAGUACUGGCUCAACUGGAGGUUCUUGCUGUGUGCGCUCUGGGUCUACUCCUGCAUGGCCUUGGCGUUCUUCUUGAUUUGGAAGUAUGAGGGGGCCCGUUCACUGGACAGCAGUGGUGAUAAUGGCGAGGACAGAGAAGAGGCAUUGCCACAGGUCGGGCCUGGUGUUGUUUAUCUUGAAGAUUGCUGGAAGACGUGCAUUGAGGGGAUCCAUCCUGGCUGGCUGUUGGCGUUUCGCCUUGUGGCCUUCUUCGUUUUGGCUUCAUUGCUUGUGGUCGACAUCGUUACUGAUGGAUGGAGUAUCUUCCUAUACUACACACAGUAAGCCCAUCUUCAUCCUGAUUGGUCAUAAUUCCCAGAAGUAGUUCCACUGCCCACAAUCAAAAGAACUUAUGCUGAAAUGAUGUUGUACGUUUGGCAGGUGGACGUUCUUGCUUGUCACCUUGUAUUUUGGGGUAUGUAGUUUGCUAAUGGAACAUUGGUUUGUUUUUUUGUUUUGGUUAUUUGUCACUUUAAUUUUAUAUCAACCUUGAAUCUCAAUAACUGACACUGACAUCAUAUCUCACUGCACUCGUGCAACACUGGUACAAAGGCUUACAUGAUCUGAAGAAGACUGUAGCAUUUAUGUAUUCUUGCUGAUGAUUUUUCACCAGUACUAACUAGUGAAUGUCUCAAUACCUUCUUCAUCUGCAGCUUGGAUCAUUGCUUUCGAUUUAUGGAUGCUAUCAGUAUGUUUACAGUACCGGUGGAGAUACAUAUGAUCUGGUAAGAUCUGGUGCAGAUCAUGGCACAUAUAUGACAGCUCCAACAGCAGAAAGUGCAUAUGACCCUACAAUCAAAAUUUCUUAUUACACUAAAGCAAACAAUGGUCGAGCAGGAUUUUGGGGUUAUAUGUUCCAGAUCUUGUUUCAGGUAACUCAUCAAUCAUCAUAAGCAUGUCGUAGCUUCACAUUUCCACAAAAAGUUGACCUGUUUUAUAUUAAUAAAAGUAAUACAGAGAAACAGUAAAGAUGACUGACACUAGUACUCCACUCAAAUUAUGUGUUUCUUUUCCAGACAAAUGCAGGUGCUGUGAUGAUUACAGAUUUGGUGUUCUGGUUUAUUUUGUACCCUUUCCUUGCCCACAAUCAGUAUGAGAUGAAUUUUGUGAGUAUUCCCUUUCUGCAAUUUUAGGAACUGUAAUAAUCUACAAUCUGACUUGUUCAGUGAACAAUAUUAACUAAAAGUGUUCCAUAUACAUUACUUUUUUCCUUUAAAAAUUUACCUUAAAGAUCAUAAUUCACUAUAUAUACCUAGGGAUUUUGGAAGUCUGAUAUGAUAGUAUAUAACUUAAUGGUCUGUGACCUUUUAUCAGUUACUUUGUAUUCAGUCACCUUAUAGACUCCUUUUUUUGGAACUUAUGGCUGGAGCUCUUGCUAUAUGAAUAAAGAGAUAAAAUAUGCCUUCUGCUAUUACUUCUGUAUCAUUUCUACAUGGUUAAGGGGAUGCAGAAGUGGCAGUACACAAGUGCUUAGCACUGCUUUUGGUAGGCACAUCAGUUGUGGCCUAUUUCUUUUAAAGAAUGACUAGCAGACAUGCCCGUGUGUUGCAACGUUAGGUACAGCUUGGGUCAUCUAUUCCAAUGUGUCUUAGAAUUGGACGUGUGCUAUUCUAACUCCUAUAAGCAUGGGUUGUGAGUUCAGGUCAUGGGUUGGACGCCAAUUAGGAUUCUUAUCUCUUCAUCACAUACUACUACUCUUAGUAAAACUGGCUAAGAUGUCUCUUAUGCUCGAGGGAGGGAGUGGAGGGACAGACAGACUUGGAAGAGUGAAGGGCUAAAAUUUGUGGGCGAGAAGUUUUCACUCUUUAAUAUUAGGUAUAGAAAUGUUACAUGAUUACGUGCUAUUCAUAAUAAUAUAUAGUCAUACUACAAAAGAGAAAUUUAUUUGUUGAGGUUUGUUAUUUGUAUUCUUUUUUUCUGUAUUUAGUUCUUAAAGUUCUUAAUAUGUGCACAACAGAUUCUGAUUGGGACACAUUCAAUCAAUGUUGUCUUCAUAGUUGGUGAUGCUGCUCUAAACAAACUGGUAAAUGUCUCAUGCUAUAACAUUGAUCUAUAUCAUGAUCAACUGAUCUCUGUAUUGAUAUUUUAAUCUAUAAAUGCAGCAUUUCCCGUGGUUUAGGAUAGCAUACUUUCUGCUGUGGACAGGCAUUUUUGUUAAUGUUCAGUGGAUCAUCCAUGCUAACGUGUCAACCUGGUAGUGCUACCUGCUUAGCUCUUUUUUUUUCUUCCUAAUGAGGUGAAAUUGGGAUGUGUAACAUGUUUUGCUUUGUUCAGGUGGCCUUACCCAUUUUUAGACUUGGCAUUCCCUGGUGCACCUGUAUGGUAAGCUCAACUCAAUGAAAGAAAUGACUAUUUUUCUAAAUAUAUGGUUUCAUGAGUAGCUAAUGCAUCAGUGAGACAAAAAAAGUAGAAACUAGACAUUACAUGACAGUAGAACCACAAGCUAGUGAUAGCUAUGAAAAUCUUAUUACCACAUGAACAGAUGUGAUGACAUACAAAGGACAUAACAAUUUGGUACCUAAAUACUUUUGGUUGUCACACUCAUUUUACACUGAAGCCAUCAAGAAAUUUGCUAUCAUGCUCUUUCUGUCAUAAUCAUAAGUAUGCCAGUAUUGCUGUAAACUGCGAUUUCAUCAUCUUGAAAGAAAAAACUGUAACUCCUGGCAGGUACCUGGUGGUGGCAGUGCUGCACUUCCCAUGCUACGCUCUAUUCACCCUGGUGCUGAGGCUCAAGCAUAUGUUGUUGGAAAGUUGGUUCCCUCAAACUUAUGUGAAGUAAUCAAGGAGGACAGUAUUCGUUAUCAAAAAGAAAGAAAAAAGGAGGACAGUAGUCGUAGUUGGUUGUCCUUAUACGUUACCUUCAGCAAGAUUAAGCGGAGAUUCUGCAAACUGUCUGCACACCCGAAAUCACAUUGUUCAGAAAUAGAUCACACCGGCCUGUCGACAGAUUUCUCUGAAAGUGGGCAUGUAAAUUGACAGAGCAUGUUCCAAAAAUUUUGAGAUCAGCAGCUUAUUUCAACCAGCUGCUGUCACCAGGCAUUGCAACCAUAUGUUUAUCCCCAAUGGAGAUAUGUGUACAGUCCACUAAAUAUAUCCAAUUAUUUCCAACAAUUUUCAUGUUCCCUGGGUGACUUACCUAGCCCGUUAAGUUUCUUAGUGGCAUCAUCUAUGCUGUGCGUGUUAUAUCCUUGCCUUUUGGCGGGACGAGAUCAGAUAGCAUCAGCACCAUGGUGUGGUGUGGGCUUGGUGUUAUUUCCAUUAUGUUUCCAAAACGAGUCCAUUCUGGACGAGUUCUUAGUGAUCAAGGGCAUCUCUCCACUCAAUACUUCCAGUCUCCAGAUUUGUUCGUUCUCUUCAGGCUCAGGGCAUGAUGAACCUAAACUAAGCUCCGUUUGGUUCCCCUUGCUAAAUUUUAACUACUCUUGGGUGACUAAUGGAACUAAACUAUCUUGCAAAUGCUCGUGUCUUCACGUGGGAGUUCUGGUGGUGGUUUUUCAGGUUCAGCCACCUUGGGGCCCGUUCGUUUAGCCUGAUUUCUAGCCGGAACUAUUCCUAAUGAUCUUUGCUAUGUAAAAUACAACACCGAUCCAGGCCGGAUUGGUUCCCGUAUUGGAUUCCGUUCGAACCGAACGUACCCUUGGUUGGUUCGCACGACAGCAGACAUCAACAGCUCGGCAGCUCCUCUCCGAAGUGUUUGUGCUGGAAAAAAGAAAAACGAGAGGGAAUUGCAAAUAGCAGCACACAAUGGGCUGUAUGAUCUUGGGCCUUUAGAGUCUGAGUGUGUUUCGGCUGGACGGACUGGGACCCACGCCACCGGCAACCCCGCGGUUACAGCCUCAGAUGGGCCGUCGUGGUCCAGGCAUGAUGUGCCAAAGCCAGAACGUGUCGGUGGGACCGGUGGGGCCCCUGCUCACCUCGCAUCUUUUUGUAGUAGUACGGUACUGCACGUCUGUACUGUACUACUACUGCAGAAGCGCAUAGUGGCACGCCGGAGAGUCACGUGCGCACAGCACAGGCGCGGCAGCGGCAGCACCGGCCGGCACUGGCAGGCGAGGCGACCGCGACCGCGACCGCCUCCGUGCAUCCGUCCGGCCGAUCCCGGCGUCGCAUGCGCACGCCGACGCCGCGCUUCCCGGCCACGGUCUCCCAAGCCGGCGAACAGCAAAUCGCACUCGCACGACCACGAUCGCUCACUCGUACGCACGCCAGCGCCGCUGGCGCCUUGCGCCUUGGGGCUGUUCGCUUGUCGUUGCUCCCGUCCUGAGGCGCCCGCGCGGCUGCUCCCUCUUGGCCUCGGUUGGGAGCUGUUGGACUAGUAUCAUCACGCGGCCGUCCGGUCGUUCGUGCCGGCCGGCCGGGAUCCGCCGCGCCCGAGGAGGAUCACUGUUGUUGAGUAGUACGGCGCUCACAUUCCCGCCGCAUCGGCAACCGCGCCGCCGGCACUGGGGCGGCGUAGAAUAAUCAGAUCGCCGGCACUGGAGGCCAGCGUCAGCGUGCCGGCCGGCCAUCUCCCGGCCACGCGACAAAGAUGCUUUGCUCGCUGGCUCGUCGGAGUUUGGGUCCGUUUUGGCUUUGGCAUGUGCCGUGCCGACGCCGGGUAGACGCAGACGGGAACGGCCUCGCCGGAUUCGGAAUUGGUGGGUUCUGGGUGCCGUCCUCGCAGAUCCAAGAACUGCCGGUUUGCUAGUUUUAUUCGGGCCUAGUUCCAAAAUUUUUUGCAAAAUAGGAAUAGUAUCACUUUCGUUUGUAUUUGACAAAUAUUAUCCAAACAUGUACUAACUAGACUCAAAAGAUUCGUCUCGUCAAUUUCGGCCAAACUGUGCAAUUAGUUUUUAUUUUUGUCUAUAUUUAAUACUUUAUACAUGGGUCUAAAGAUUUGAUGUGACGGAAAAUGUGAAAAAUUUUGUAAAAUUUUUUGGGAAGUAAACAAGGCCUCGGUCACAACGCACAAUUAUUGUUGUAGCCACAGGAGUACAGGACUACUGGCUACUGCAACCCCACACGAUAUAUCUCAUAUGUUGAAUGGUCGGCUGAGAGAUUUUAAUGAGUCACGUUUAGUAUAGCUUUACUUCACUAAUAGAGUAAUUUUUUUCUUCGUUUUCAUUGUUGGAGUUGAAACUGUUUUAGAAAAAUAUUUGGUAAGUAAACUUUUUAUAGUAGAGAAGAGGAAGCUGGGAGGAACUAGUAUUUUCAGUUUCAUCUAGCUUUGAGAACAGAUUUUAAGGAGCUCCACUUGAAGAAUUAGUCCAUUUUAUUAAUCCAUUAGGCAAAAAAUACAUCUAAAUAGCUCUUGAAAUUGUUAGAAAAUAUGUGCCAAAUGACGCAUAAGAAUAUACAAGUUGUUAUUAAUUUUGCUAGGAGCAACGGCGACUCGUUGGUCCAUAUGGCUCGAUUUGGAAAAAAAAAAUGUUACUCCUAUGCAAGUUAUUUUCUUGGUUACUCUCUGGUCAUGUUCUUAUGAUUGAUUCAGUUUCUACUGCAAAAAAAAGAGUGAAACUAUAACCAAACAGGUGUAACUUGACACCAUAGACUUUACUUUUAGCUUUCAACUUUUCAAAAUGGUGCAAAUAGAGAUAUUUCGGAGCUGUUUUAAGGGAGAUAUAGAUAGAAGCUAGGUUUAUAGUUGUUUUAAUUAAACAACUUAUAACUUUUGCAUAGGACAUACUCUCUCUCUCUCUCUAACUAUUUUUAUUUGUCCUAAGUCAACUUACCUCAUGUUUGACUAAAAUGGUAGGAAAAUAUAUUAAUUUCUACUACGUCAAAAAGGUAGUUGUAAAAAUAUAUUCCAUAAUGUUUAUAACGGAGCUCACAUAAUGUUAAAAUAUUAUUGUUCUUUCUAUAAAUUUUAGUCAAAUUUAAGAUAGGUUAACUUAGGGUAAAUGAAAAUAUACUACGUCCUUGCUGAUUCACACGGGAUUCCACGUGCCUCAUGCUACUCGGGUCAGAGCGUAAGCUAGUGAUGCUUUCGGCUACUGGACUUUAGCCAUCUAGGGUGCGGCACUCAACCGCUUCGCCUAGCAGCACAACGCUUGUAUUGCUCUCCCACAACCCCGUUUUCACGGUUUAGGCUGCUCCCAUUUCGCUCGCCGCUACUACGGGAAUCGCUUUUGCUUUCUUUUCCUCUGGCUACUAAGAUGUUUCAGUUCGCCAGGUUGUCUCUUGCCUGCUCAUGGAUUCAGCAGGCAGUUCAAAAGGUUGACCUAUUUGGGAAUCUCCGGAUCGACGGAUGGAGCAAAUCCUUAGAUUGCAUAAAGUCGGAUUUGCAUGAUAUAGUUGUGGUGAUAUCACAACAAGAAGCUGUUUUAUGCGGGAUAUAGUUGUGAUGGUCUCACAGCAAUUGAUAUAUGUGGUUAAGGAUAUUUUUUUUCUAGACAAAUAGAUGACAGUCUAGUUUAGGCCUUGUUUAGUUCUAAAAGUUUUUAGGAAAUCGACAUUGUAGCACUUUCGUUUGUAUUUGAUAAAUAUUGUCCAAUCAUGGACUAACUAGGCUUAAAAGAUUCGUCUCGUCAAUUCCGACCAAACUGUGCAAUUAGUUUUUAUUUUUGUCUGUAUUUAAUAUUCUAUGCAUACGUCUAAAGAUUUAAUGUGAUGAGAAAUCUAAAAAGAUUUACAAAAUUUUUUGGGAACUAAACAAGGCCUUAUAAAUUGUAUUCACUUGGCGCGUGUUGUGGAAGCCAUAUGAUUACGACGGUAUCACAACAUUCGACACACGUGACUAAGGAUUUUUUUUUCAGACAUAUACGUAGCGGUCUAAUUUAUGAAUUGGUAGUAAAAGAAUUGGUAGUGAAGUGUUAGAUCUUUUCUCGGUUGCGUGUCUCUUGUUAGGUGGAGAACGCUGGAAGUUUUUCUGCAAUGUUUUUGUAUCGACAUGAUGUAUUCAGAGGUUUUUAUAUAAAAAAGGUUUCUUAAUUAAAAGACGUGUGUUCCUGGUGAAGAUGUCAGAUUCCGAUGGGAGAGAUUGGAAAACGGCUGCUGGCCAAACAAGCCCUUGUUGUUGAGUUCACUCUGAAAAUCAAAAAGUUUUUAAGAUUCUCCGUCACAUCGAAUCUUGUGCCACAUACAUGAAACAUUAAAUAUAAACAAAAAAAACUAAUUACACAGUUUAGCUAUAAAUCACGAGACGAAUCUUUUGGUCCCAGUUAGUUCAUGAUUAGAUAAUAUUUGUCACAAACAAACGAAAGUGCUACAGUACCGAAAACUUUUCACUUUUCGGAAGUAAUUGGCCUUGUUUAGUUCUCAAAAAAUUUUCCAAAAUUUUUCAGAUUUCCCGUCACAUCGAAUCUUUAGAGGUAUGCAUGAAGUAUUAAAUAUAGACGAAAAUAAAAACUAAUUACACAGUUUGGUCGGAAUUGAAGAGAUGAAUCUUUUGAGCCUAGUUAGUUCAUGAUUGGACAAUAUUUGUCAAAUACAAACGAAAUUGAUACUAUUCACAUUUUGCCAAAAAUUUUGGAACUAAACAAGGCAAGCCCAAGUGGAAUGCACUGCACUGCACAACACGCCCGCACGGGUACGGCAGACGGGCCUUGGUGGCUGGGGGCCUGCGCGCUGUUUGCGCAAAUAUUUGUUGGAGAACCAGAACAGUGCGACAUGGAGUUAUUUCCCGUCGAUCUGAUCUGCCGGUUCUGCUCUCGUUCGUCGAUGAUCAAUCGAUGCGCGCUGAUGAAUGCCAGAGUACACCCCAACAGUGCCGCUGUACCAACUAGGGCCUUGUUUACAUUCAAAAAGUUUUUGGAUUUUAAUAUUAUAGUUUUUUUGUUUUUUAUUUGACAAAUAUUAUUCAAUUAUAGAAUAACUAGGAUUAAAAGAUUUGUCUCGCGAUUUACAGACAAAUUGUGUAAUUAGUUUUUGUUUUCAUCUAUAUUUAAUGCUCUAUGCAUAUGCCGCAAGAUUCGAUGUGACGAGGAAUCUUGAAAUUUUUUUUUUUUCCGGAGGUGAACUAAACAAGGUCUAGAAAGUAGUGUUGGCUGAUUUAUUGUGAGAGAAAAACACGGCUAGGAUUGAAGCAAACAAGACGUAGAGUUCCCUGCGGUGGUCGGAUGAUCCGACGGCGAAGGUGGAUCGGAACCUUUUGCAAUUGCAUGGAGAGAGGUCAGAGGUCGACAAGAUCUUCAGACUUAAGAGGCGCCGCGUAGCGUAGGCCUAGCCUAGCCUAGCCUUGCUCACAUUUUGGUAGCGUGACGUUGUUGUCCAACGACAAGGACGGACGCACGCCGUGAUCGGUCGAUCGAUGGAAUGCAUGUGUGCCGCCGUUGCGUGGCCCCGUGGGUGGGGGCGGGGGGAAGAGGAAUGCGACCGGCCGGGACUAAUGGAAGCUCCCCGGGACGGAAUCAUGGGGGAUGAUUAGUUGCCAUGAUAACUGUGGCGUCCCUCUCGCUUCGGUUGCACUGUCCCCAGCCCCAGCUCAUAAGCUUUCGCUUGUACUACCUACCACUCGCUACCAGGCAGGCGGCGAGCGAGACGACGAACCAACCGUGGCGUGGCAAUCGGCAAUGGCAACCACCAGUCCACCACCACCACCACCACACGGGACAAGGGGGGCACCAGGGCGCAGGGGACACCUCCAUCUCGUCCAGUUCUCCGCGACGACUCCUUCUCCAUGUGCAGCAGGCGCAGCGCCAGCCUCUUGGCUCUUGCCGUGCGGUGCCUAUAGCUAGCUGCGGCGCACUGCCCAGUGCCACCAACCAACCUCGCUCGCCGUUGACAUGUGAGAAGCGGUCGAGCUUGCUUGUCCGUGUGCUGCUUGGAAUGGAAUGUAACGCGAUGUGGUGACCAGCGUUGCCGGUGAUCCCUGACCGACCCUGCAGAAAUCGUCUAGCACGGCCGCCUCCAUCAGACCCAGAUUGUGCAGCAGCACGCGGCGUGUGAACCGACCGAGGACUGCGGGUUUUGGUUAAGGCCUUGUUUAGUUUGGGAAAAAUUUUGGAUUUCGCCACUGUAGCACUUUCGUUUGUUUGUGGGAAAUAUUAUCUAAUCAUAGACUAACUAGGAUCAAAAGAUUCAUCUCGUGAUUUACAGAUAAACUGCGUAAUUAGUUUUUAUUUUCGUCUAUAUUUAAUGCUUCAUGCAUCUGCCGUAAGAUUCGAUGUGACGGGGAAUCUUAAAAAAUUUUGGGAACUAAACAAGGCCUAACGGGGCACGCGCACACGCACACGCACACGCCUACGAGCGGGCAGCGGCAGCGGCAGCCGGCAGCUAGCUGCAGCCUGCAAGUGGCAGUGGCAGCGCCCAGUGGGCUGGCGGCCUGGCACCUUUCCCUGCGGCGGCGGUCCGGCCGACCGGUAGCGGCCCGCGCCAGCCCGCUCGUGGCGUACCGCUGCACUGCACUGCACCUGGGCGCGGUGCCUCGGACUGCCGGCCGGUGCCGCAGCCCGCAGGGGCAGAGCACGCAGCGAGCACCCAUCAAUGACCCCGGGUCGCAGCUGGAGCGCCCUCCCCUCCGCACCUCACCUCACCACUCUCUCCACGGCCACUGUUACGCGCUGCACAGUUACUGUUAUGCAGCAGAGAAACUGAGGCCUUGUUUAGUUCACUCCGAAAACCAAAAAGUUUUCAAUACAUGAAACAUUAAAUAUAGACGAAAACAAAAACUAAUUACACAGUUUAGCUAUAAAUCAAGAGAAGAAUCUUUUGGUAUAAUAUUUGUCACAAACAAACGAAAGUGCUACAGUACCGAAAACUUUUCACUUUUCUCAACUAAACAAGGCCUGAGGCCGUGUGCCCGUGUUCGCCAUGCCUGCUGUCAUUGUGAGCCAACAUUCUACCGUGGUAAAACUGUCCUGUAGUAUGUCAUAUCCUUCCUCGUCUAUCGGUGUGUGUGUGUGUGUUUGCUGAACGGAGGUUGCGUCGAUAUAUAAGCCAAUGUAAGAAAGUUAUUAUUAAGAUGAUAUUUGGUUGUCUAUAUAAACAGAUGCAAUUUGAGUAUUUGACUAUCGUGUAUGACUGACAUGUGGGCCCCUCUCGCUCCAUCCGCAGGGCCUACUUUGGGACCGAUGGCUGGAAUGGCCGCAUGACCAUAGCCCAGAUGUAGCUCUAAUCCUGCACGAGCGGAUGCAGCCGGUCACCCAAAACAUCCUUCCUCCUAGUUUAUUCGGCUGGCAAUGUGUAGGCUGGUCGGUGCAUGUUUUUGCAUAUAUUUUUUUUACGUGCACAAAUGCAUAUUGUAGAUAUGUGAAAUGCAAAGAUCGACCGGAUCAAACCAAGACAAAUCGGAUGUAGAAUGCGGCAAUGAUCAUAUCCUUAGUGAAACAACUCAUGAACUGUGUAGAAAGAAACCAAAUAGGUUUAUUUUGAGAAGACGUAUGAUAAAGUUAAGUAGCCUUUUUUAUAUAAAAAAUAUUAAAGAAUAGAUUCCUUUUAACAAGGUGAAAACAAAAAAAAAAGGACUUUUUAGGUCAAAGACUUAUUCCUUGGUUUAUCUACUUUUGAUUUUUGACAAGAACGAGUGGUUAGAAAACUUUACUCUCAAAAAAUGACAUUUUUUGUUAUUAUACAACAAAGCAAGGAGAAGGAAUGUAACUAGCUCAAGUGUUUGUUGUGAAUGAUGGUGGAUAAACGAUGAGGAGACACAAGAUUUAACGUGGAAAACUCCUCCAAUGCGAAGGGGAAAAACCACGGGCACCAGCCAGCAAACACUCCUCACUAUUAUCAAGAGUUGGGUUACAACGCCAUGAGGCGGCUUACAAGAUCAUAUCUUCGGUGGAACCUUAAUUUGGAUAUAUGUACCGUACAGAAGUUGGCUUUUAUAAUGUGCAACUGAAUUUGGAACAUAUUCAACAGUGUUUAGGUCUACACCUUUGAACAUUUCGUUUAAUUGAGCCCUAGUAGAAGAUAGGCUACGUAAGUAGAAUGAGUUGGUUAAUGUAAUAGUGUUUGUGCAACUUGAUGGCCCACGCGACUUUGAAAUGGGGUCAUAUAGGAACUUGAUGACCAAUUUCCACCAUAUUGCAAUGCCUCUAACCAAAUCUUUAUAGAAGUUGAAGUUACAUUUUAAAAUUAGAGUCCUUGCUUGGUCAACAAAAGACAAUCUUCUAAAGCGCAAUUGUUAUUGUCGACGAAAGCUAGUCGGCAGUCUACCUUGGAGUAUACCCAAGGCAGUAGUUUAUCGGCAAACGAUGCGCAAGCUACGAACUUGAUGGUGACGCAAGACACGGACAAGCUUUUUAUCCAAGUUCGGCCGCCGUGUGGGCGUAAUACCUACGUCCUGCGUCUGGUUGUAUUGAUUUGUGUUGAGAUAAUAAUGAGUUGUCUAUGACUUGUCCUCUAGGGGACCCUUGCCCCUCCUUAUAUAUCUUGAAGGGACAGAGUUACAAACAAAGUAUCCUAUUUGGUACAAUAUCUUGUAGUCUUGCGGUGCACACCGACCAGUCGUGCGCCGCACGUCUUCAUCCUGUGGGUCGAGCCACCUCUGACGGUGCGGCCCAUAUAGGCCCAUGAGGUGUCGACGAAAGCUGGUCGGCAGUCUACCUUGGGGUAUACCCACGGUAGUAGUUUAUCGGUAGACGGUGCGCAAACUACGAACUCGAUGGUGACGCAAGACACGGACAAGCUUUUUAUCCAGGUUCGGCCGCCGAGUUGGCGUAAUACCUACGUCCUGCGUCUGGUUGUAUUGGAUUGUGUUGAGAGAUUACGAUGUCCUAGGGGGGUCCCUUGUCCCUCCUUAUAUAGUCCGGAGGGCAGGGUUACAGAUCUGGAAACUAAUCCUAGUCGGUUACAAUUGCCAUAGAUAGUUCGAUAUCAAUUCCUAUUCUAACCGACUAGAAUUCUGUUUGAUCUCCACAUCUUGCUUCCUUGUGCGAGACUCCAGGCUGUCGGAUCAAGCCUUAAACUCGUCUCGUAAUGGGCCAAGCCUCCUGGCCCAAGUCUAGCCGUAAGGGUAUAGGGGUCUAUCCCCCCACAGCUAGUCCCCGAGCACCAUGUAUUGUGAUGUAACACGCCGCCUUGAGCUUCUUCGAUCAGUGAGACUUGACGUCUUCAAUAAGCGGGAAAGUCGCCCAAACAGUUGCAACAGUAUUUUGACCAACUCAAAAGACAGUUGAUCAACAUUGUCAUCGAAGAAGCAGGUUGUUUGAAGAAUGCAUGGUGCUCUAAAUUAAAAAAAGAUUUCUUUCUUGGUGAAGUGUGCCCACUUUACUUUUGCGAAAAGUGUAGUCUUCAAAAUAGCAAGCAUAUUCACCGCAAGGUGAAGUGUGCCCACUUAGUCCCCGAGCCUGGUAGUAGGUGACGUAGGCACGUGGUGCCAGGGUCAAAAGAAAAGUCCUCAAAGAAAUUCUGAAACCGAGAUGCAUCGCCAGAUGCAUCGUACCGAUGUAGUCCCCGAGCUUGCUGGAAGGCGAAGUAUGAGCCUUGUAGCAAGGUCUAAAGAAUUGAAUUUACCAGUCCCCGAGCAUGUCAUGCUCGUCUGUAAUCGAAAAGACCCGUCCCCAGGCACUUAGUGUGCUGCCUGGAAUUACAUGUUACUAUACUAUACGACCAGUCCCCGAGCAUCGAGUGCUCGGUGGUCGGUGAAUGCUUUAAAGCUGUGAGCUGAUAGACUGAGCGACCAGUCCCCGAGCGUCGAGUGCUCUGUGGUCGGUGCAUUAUUUGAAGUUCCGAGCUAAUAAACUGAGCGACCAGUCCCCGAGCGUCGAGUGCUCGGUGGUCGGUGCAGUCUUUGAAGUUCCGAGCUAAUAAACUGGGCGACCAGUCCCCGAGCAUCGAGUGCUCGGUGGUCGGUGCAGUCUUUGAAGUUCCGAGCUAAUAAACUGGGCGACCAGUCCCCGAGCAUCGAGUGCUCGGUGGUCGGUGCAGUCUUUGAAGUUCCGGAUUGCUGACUCACUGGCGUAUGUGUCUUCUUACUUUUGAAAAGGUCUUUCAAAUUUGAAGUUGACAUGACGGGGUCUCCUGACGAUAUGUCAGACGGAUGCAUGAAAAGCUGUGCCUGGCAACUGUACAACCGCUCUUUGCGUGGUUUGAGAAAAAGGAAACCAUCAAUUGGUACGAAAACUCCGCCGCAUUAAUUGUCUAUAAUCAUUAUAAACCGAAACGCCGCGUCCGCCGCAUGGCCUGCCCACUUCCCGAGAUUACAGGAAGUGGGAGAGGUGGGGUCGCUGGUUUAUAAGGGCCUAAUAGGACCUCCUGUACCGCUUCUCCUGCAAUUGCCGUCAAAUCUUCCGCUUUCAUCUUCUCCAAUCUCCUGCACUUUCCUAGCCCAGCGCGCACUCGCACCUCUAAUGGCGAAGAGCGAUUCCAGGAAGAGGGCCGAACUGAUGGCCAAGGAGUGGAAAAAAUCUCGCAGCACCACAAAGUCUCUUGGUGACCUCGUCGACAUGGGGCUUCUGCACGACGCAGAGCUCGGCGGCUGGAGGGCGCCGGAAGGGGAGAGCUACCCCGACCCUCGCGCCGGUGAGAUCGUCGUUUUUGAAGACUUCAUCAAGAGAGGCUUUGGUGUUCCUGUUCAUCCCUUUCUACAGGGUCUUCUUUUGUACUAUGAGAUCGGGAUUUGCAAUCUGCACCCGAACUCGAUUCUCCUUAUUUCCACCUUCAUCCAUCUGUGCGAGGCCUAUGUUGGCAUAGAGCCGCACUUUGAUCUUUUCCGGUACCUUUUCUGUCUGAGGAAGAAGGGAGCAGUUGGAGGCUCCAAGGUUGCAGGUGGAGUAUACCUCAACCUUCGUGAUGGGAUGAAGAACCGCUACCUACACUGCCCAUGGAACACCUCUUUGACCGAAUGGUACAGGAGGUGGUUCUACGUCAGGGAGGAACCGGGCAGCUCCACGUUCUGCGACGUGGGGUACGUUCCCGAGAAGAGGGCGAGCUGGAGCGACCGCCCGGAGUACGACGGUCAAGUGGCGGAGCUGAUGAAGCUGAUCGACUGGUCGCGCCUGGACGGGUUUAGCGUGGUCGGCAACUUCAUUUGCCGCCGGGUGAUGCCCUGCCAGAAGAGGGUGCACUCGGCGUAUGAAUAUGCCGGAAGCGCAGACCCGACCAGGAUGCGGUCGGAGAUCCUGGAGAAGGCGGAGGUACAACAGCUGCUGAACGAGCUGUUUAACUUUGCCGAUGGGGGCUUCACCCGUAGCAGUGAUCGGGUGCAAGCCUUCAAACUAGGACGACCAGCACCAAAGGUAUGUAGCAUAGCCCGUUUGAUCAUUCUUAUGUCGUCUGCAGUUGGCUCACCUCUGUUGCUUUUGCAGGUCGGUGAUGUCGACCGGUGCGUAGUGUACGCAUCACUGGCACCGGGGAUGGAAGAUCCUGUGGGAGAGGUCCCGUCGGAAGAAGACCGAGCCCGCCCCGUCCUGACCUCCGAGGAGAGGGUAGCGGGGAAAAGGCCAUUGCCGGCGAAUCCCUUGCCAACGCCGGAGCUGCCGGCAGACCUACCGGCGGAGAGCAGCCAAGCGCCGAAGCGUCGUCGGCUCGUGCGGAUCGUCGACGACGACGAGGACGACGAGGAGGCUGCGCCGUCGCUGGUCCGACGGCCUCGGGACCGCCCAGACGCUGCGCCGGUCGCCACUGAUCGAGUGGCCAGCGACGCGGCUGCCCCGCAAGUUGCCGAGGUGGGGGCACAGGCGCCGACCGGCCGGGCGAGGAGGAGGUUCACCGCGACCCAUCGGCGGUCAGACCUGUAAGUGUUCAACUUACGUAUUUUGGACUCCUCUCUCUUUUUUUUUUUUUUCUUUUUUUUUAACUUUUGUUCCUGUAGUGCGGCAUCGGAUGUCGACCCUGGCCAAACUGCUGGCCAGGGAACGGGCGAGCCUGCCCGCGGUUCUGGGGAUGCGGCCCCCCAGACCACAGAGCAGCCAACAGCUGCAGUCGCGCCUGGGAGCACGGAGGGGCUCCCGAGCGCGGCGCCUACUACAACAAGCAGCCCGACCAGGGCUGGGGAGGCUCCCCCAACUGACUCCUCGGAGAAGGGAAAGUCUCCGACCGCUCCUCCUGCCGGGGGGAGUGAAGUCCCCCUGCCGCCCCGAGCAGGAGCCUCUCCGGCUGCGGGCUCCCCAGGUCUGGUCCAAGGGACGGUGGCGCCUGGGACCACCACCGGGGGUGACGCAGCCCAGGAGGAGGAAACCAGGGCGGCCUCCGACGACGAGGUAGAAGAGAUCGAGGGUCGUCCCCGUGAUGGCCGCCAACACGUGUAUGUGUGGCGCCAACGCGGGGAUCACUUUAUCGGUCAUGAGGAGCUCGCCGAGUCCGAAGAGGCCGCCAGGGUGGAGCGCGCGGCUAAGCGCCUUGUCGACGAAGUCAAGGUAAGCGGCGUUUUGAGCUGCCGCGCGAUCUUUUGCCUUGUCUUCUGCGCAUUCUUAUAUGCUUGCUUUGUAGGACGUUAUGAAAACGGCGAAGUACCGGAAACGGUGCUUUGACCAGAUAGAAGGCGUCAUGGCCGAGAACAAGGCCCUUGCCGCGGAGGUAGACCGGUUGCGGGCGGAGGUCGGAGAGAAGGUGGUCGAGAUGAGCGCCGAAAAGGAGCGUCGUCUCGACCUCUCUCGUCGCCUGGCCGACCAGUACCGGCUGCAGGAAGGUUAGUCACACGCUCCGAGCAGUUUCACAUACUUGUAUAGUUUGCUUUGCUGACCAGUUAAUCGAUUCACGCAGACUUGGAGGAGGAGGUGGCGAGCCUCCAACAAGAGAAGGAGCAGCUCGGCCAACAGCUCGCCAGUGCACAGGAGUCCGGGCGGCGAGCGGAAGAGGAGUUGGGCCGAAAAGACCGGGAGUUAGCUGGUAAUGAGUGCCGCCUUGUUGAUUGCUGCCUGCCCUGUGCUUGUCUGGUAACGUUUCAUUUCGUUUGCAGUGCUCAAGGUGAACACCAAGAAGCACCUGGAUGAGCUGAUCAGGGACCGGGACUCCUGGAAGGCCAACUGUUGCAAGAUCUGGAAGGGAGUGUCCCCGGUCCUGGACCUGAUCAGUCCCGAGCUCCCGGAGAGCCAGCCCCGCGCGCCGCAGUUGACCCCAGUCGAGAAGGCGCAACGGGCGUGGGACUGGCUCCAGCAGUUUGUGAAGGACGCCGGAGAGUUUGCCGGCGCGCACGUCCUCAGCAUGGUGCGCGCCCACUACCCCCUGGUUGACUUGAGCAGGCUGGAGAAGGGGUACCCGAAGGAAGUCGGCCCACAGGAAGCGGACGAACUUCGGGGUAGUCUGCUGGAUUUGUCGUCGACGGUGAUCGGCGACAUCAACCUGUGCGGAACGGCCACUCCUCCAGACCAGCCGAGCUCAGAUAGGUCGGCCAGGGAGUUGUCGGGCGCGUCCGUUGCUGGAGAUGGGCGGUCGACGCCUGCGGUCUCGACCAGCCAGGCGCCGGUGGCCCCGACCCCUUCGUCCGGGCAGCAAGGCCAGGCGGGUGAUCAGCCCGAGCAGCUAGGCCAAUAAAGUAGUCUGUAGGAAUAGACUAGUAUCUGCCCGUCAGGGUGUUUAUUGUAAACUUUGUAUGUAAAGUUUGUAAUAAAGUUUUCUUUUUUGUCAUGACUGUUGUUUUGAGCGCUGUAAGAAUGUCUGAGUGACGUGUCACCGUAUUUGUCUUGGUUGUCGCCAAGAGCAUCCAUUGCAGGAGUUUUGCUGGGUGCUGCGUACGACAAGGUAUAGGCGAGAAAUAUAGAAUCUUAUUAUCAAAAAUUAUAAGAUACUUACAAAAGAAAGCCAUUAAAACGUUAUGGAUAGAAUCGUCGCAGUUUGUCGAUGUGCCAAGAGUUAGGCACUCGUGUUCCGUCUGGGUAUGCCAAUCUGUAGGACGUAGGUCGUGUGACCUUGGUCACCACGAAGGGUCCUUCCCAGGGAGUGGAUAACUUGUGCAUUCCCUCCUGGUUCGUUUUCCAUCGAAGCACCAGAUCGCCGACCACAAAGGAACGGUCCUUGACGUUCCUGUUGUAGUAUCGCCUGACUGCCGCGAGAUAUUUUGCUGUUCGGAGACAUGAAACUAAACGAUUUUCCUCCAUGCAAUUGACUUCGAGUUCCCUGGCGUUGUCGGCAGUCGCCUCGUCGUAGUGCUCGAUUCUAGGAGAUCUGAAGUGUAUGUCGGCCGGCAGGACCGCCUCUGCACCGUAUACCAUGAAGUAGGGAGACACCCCUGUGUUUCGACUGGUCUGGGUUCGGAGGCCCCAGACUACUGCCGGCAAUUCUCUCAUCCAUCGACCGGGUGCUCUGUCGUUUUCGGUGUACAGCCUCUUCUUUAGGGCAUCAACGAUCAUUCCAUUAGCACGUUCGACUUGACCGUUAGCACGUGGGUGUGCUACUGACACAUAUUUUAUGACUAUGCCUCUGUCAUCGCAGAAAUCCCAAAAAGUGGUGCCAGUAAACUGAGUGCCCAGGUCGGUGAUUAUGCUGUUCGGGAUGCCGAAUCUGUGUAUGAUUUGAUUGAGAAACUCCACGGCCUUCUCGGAGGUUGCCUUGACCAAGGGCAUGUAUUCGAUCCACUUGGAGAACUUGUCGAUUAGCACGAAGACAAACUUGAAGUUGCCCGGGGCUGGUUUAAAUGGUCCGAUCAUGUCAAGCCCCCAGCAAGCAAAGGGCCAAGACGACGGGAUAGUCUGAAUUUCAUGGGCGGGUACGUGGGUCCUCUUAGCGAAAAACUGACAUCCUUCGCAAUGCCGAACCAGUUUUUCUGCGUCGCCGACCGCGGUUGGCCAAUAAAAACCUGCUCGGAAAGCCUUUCCGACCAGCGUUCUAGAUGCGGCGUGGUUGCCGCAGGAUCCAGCGUGUAUGUCUUCCAAGAGCUUGAUACCAUCAUCUUGGGGUAUGCACUUGAGCAGUACUUCGGAGCUUGCGUUUUUCCGCAUGAGUUUUCCGUCGACCAGGAUGUAGUUCUUUGACCGUCGGAUGAGGCGCUCGUUCUCUGUUUUGUCCUGAUAGCCUGUUCCGUCUGAUAUGUAUUUGAUGAACGGGGUGCGCCAGUCACGCCCACCGGUUGCCGGAGUGGCGUCAUCUAUGAGCAUUGCCUCGGUGGGUUGCUUGUCGACCAGGGGAGGGCUUACGCUUGGCUCAUGGAUGUCCUGGACAAAAAUACCCCGCGGGAUCUGGGCCCGAGAUGAGCCUAACUUUGACAACGCAUCUGCUGCUUGGUUCUUGUCCCGGACCACGUGGAUGUACUCUAUGCCAUAGAAGUGAGUUUCCCAUUUGCGAAUUUCUUUGCAGUAGAGAUCCAUCUUCUCGUGGGUUGCGUCCCACUCCUUGUUGAGCUGGUUGAUGACCAAGGCAGAGUCGCCGUAGACAUAGAGGCGCUUGACCCCCAGUUCAACGGCUAGUCGUAUGCCGUGUAAGCAUGCUUCGUAUUCGGCGACGUUGUUUGACGCCGGGAAAAGGAUCCUAAGGACGUAGCGGAGUUUGUCCUUGUUGGGUGAUACGAACAGUAUCCCAGCGCCUGCACCGUUGAUGUUCAAGGACCCAUCGAAGAACAUAGACCAGUGGUCUGAGACAUCGGGAACGGAAGGUUCGUUGAGAUCCGUCCAUUCGGCAAUGAAAUCGACCAGGGCUUGGGACUUGACAGUGGUGCGACUCUGGAACUCCAGGGAAAAUGGACAUAACUCCAUUGCCCAUUUCACGAUUCUGCCAUUGGCGUCUUUAUUGCGCAGGAUGUCACCGAGAGGAAAGCUGGUUGUCACCAGGACUCGAUGGCCGUCGAAGUAAUGCUUCAGUUUUCUUGACGUUAUCAGGAUGGCGUAUAUAAGCUUCUGUAUUUGUGGGUACCUGGCCUUGGAUUCGUUUAAAACUUCGCUUAUGAAGUAAACGGGUCUCUGGACCUUGAAGACGUGACCUGGUUCAUCUCGCUCGACCACUAUUGCCGUGGAAACAACCCUGUCGGUUGCAGCAAUGUAAAGGAGCAGGUCUUCAUUAGGCUGAGGCGCUGUGAGGACAGGCGGUGAAGUGAGGAAGAUCUUAAGCUGAGUGAACGCGGCGUUGGCUUCUUCGGUCCAGGAGAAUUUUUCUGACGCUUUCAAUAGUUUGAAGAAAGGGAGGCCUUUUUCUCCCAGCCUUGAAAUGAAACGGCUGAGGGCGGCCAUGCAUCCGGUUAGCUUCUGAAUGUCCUUGACGUUCUUCGGUGGUCGCAUGUCGAGUACGGCUUUGACUUUUGAAGGGUUUGGUCGUAUGCCGUCGCGACUGACGACGUUGCCGAGCAGUAGACCGGAAGGAACGCCGAAAAUGCAUUUCUUGGGGUUGAGCUUCCACUUGUACCUAUUGAGUGCCUUGAAGGUUCGGUCUAAGUUGUCGAUCAGGGUGCUCGCGUCCCUUGUUUUUACGACCACGUCGUCCACGUAGGCCUCGACGAGGUCAUCGCGAAUCUCGUCGUGGAGGCAUUGCUGGAUGGCCCUUUGAUAAGUGGCCCCGGCGUUUUUAAGUCCGAAAGACAUGGUAGUGUAACAAUAUGCGCCGAAGGGUGUGAUGAAGGAUGUUUUGAUCUGAUCUUCUUCCUUUAACGAGAUCUGGUGAUAACCAGAGUAGCAAUCUAGAAAGGAGAGGAGUUCGCAUCCGGCCGUUGAGUCGACCACCUCGUCGAUGCGAGGAAGACCAAAAGGAUCUUUAGGACAGUGCUUGUUGAGAUCGGUGUAAUCAACGCACAUUCUCCAUUCAUUAUUCUUUUUGCGUACAAGAACCGGAUUGGCGAGCCAAUCGGGAUGAUACACCUCUUUUAUGAAUCCGGCUGCUAGAAGCCGUGUUAUCUCUGUCCUAAUAGCCUCCUUUUUGUCACGAGCGAACCGUCGUAGUUUUUGCUUGAUUGGUCUUGCGGUCUUCGAGACGUUUAAGGAGUGCUCGAUCAGGUUUCGUGGGACACCGGGCAUGUCUGCGGGUUUCCAUGCGAAAACGCUCACGUUGUCCUUUAGAAACCUGACGAGCGCGUCUUCCUAUUUUGGAUCCAGGUUAGCCCCGAUGAGGGCUGUCUUCUCGGGGUUACCUUCGACCAGCUGCACUUCUUUGUACUCCUUGGAUUUCGAAUUCUUUCUGGCUGUCUCUUGCUCGGGUAAUCGGAGCUGGUCGGGGGGCAGCUGUGCGGCUUGGGUUGCUGUUUCCGCCAUGCGGAUUGAGAGGUCAAUUGCCUCGGUGAUCUUGAAACUUUCUUCUUCACAGGUGUACGCAGUAUAGACGUUGCCUCUGACGGUCAGGACGCCCUUCUCCGUGGGCAUCUUAAGCACCAGGUAUGAGUAGUGCGGGACUGCCAUGAACUUUGUCAGUGAUGGGCGGCCCAGUAUGGCGUGGUAGGUCCCGUCGAAGUCCGCGACUACGAAGUUGAUGAACUCCGUCCGGAAGUGAUCGGGUGUGCCGAAUUGGACAGGCAAUGUUAUCUGUCCGAGGGGCACCGAACUUUGACCUGGCAAAACCCCCCAGAAUUGGGCGUCGUAAGGUUUUAGUUGCGCCGGUGAUAUCUUGAGGGCGGGCAGGCUGUUGCGGAAGAGGAUGUCGAUGGAGCUUCCCCCGUCCACGAGCACGCGCUCGAAUCUGAUGCUAUUGAUGCAGGGAUCAAGAAUCAGUGGGAAACGACCCGGCUCUGGGAUAGUGGCCCACUGGUCCUUCCUGCUGAACGCGAUCUCCCUGUGGGACCAGGCGGGAAAUUUCGGAUCUGCGAUCAGCCCGUCCGUGCUGUCUAUGUUGAGGCAGGCUCUCUUUAACAGUUUUCUUUCUCGCUUGGACUCAGUGGAGACCUUGCCCCCGAAAAUGGAGUGAACCACGUCGGUAGGGCUGACAUAUUGGUGUCGGGGGUCCCUGUCUUGGUCCUCAUCCUCAUCUUCGUGGUCGUGCCCGUCGCGUUUGCUGCUUUUCUUGGCGGUGUCUUCUUGGGCGGCCCGCCGUGUAUAGAUACUUUUGAGGACGCGGCACUCUUCCAUGGUAUGGUUAGACUUCGGGUGUAGCUGGCACGGUCCCUUCAACGUUUUGUUGUAGUCGUCUUGGUAGUCCCGUCGUCCAUUGGGACGUUUGACCGUGUUUACUUCGUGGUCGUACUCGCGAGGGCGCUUUCCUCUGAAGUCGUCGCGGCUGUCGCGCCGCCGAUCCCAACCCUCUCGGUGAUCGCGGUUGUCGGAGCGGCGAUGAUUUCUGUUGUCGUAGCGACCACGACCGUCGUCUCGCCGGGAGGGCUGGUCGGUGCCUCUCGCAUCGUCUCGGAUUAGUUUUUCUGCGUCAUCAGCAUCGGCGUAAUUUUUAGCCGUGGCGAGGAGCUCUGCUACCGUUGAUGGGCGCUUACGCAAUAGCUUGUUCCUCAGCGCUUCAUGGAAACGCAAACCCUUGAUAAAGGCUGAUAUGGCCUCGUCAUGAGAAAUCCUCGGGAUUUUGAGACGCAUAUCCGAGAAUCGUCGGAUGUAAUCGCGCAGAGGUUCAUUCUUCCUGUCUCUUAUCCUUUCAAGGUCAUACUUGUUUCCGGGCUGCUCGCAUGUGGCGAUGAAGUUGUCGAUGAAAGCCUGACGUAGCUCCUCCCAAGAGUCGAAGGAGUCCUCGGGCAAGCCGAGAAGCCACUGAUGACCAGCCUGGUCGAGGACUACGGGGAAGUAAUUAGCCAUGACGUGCUCAUCUCCUGCCGCUGAUCGGACGGCGAUUUCGUAGAGAGUGAUCCAGUUCUCUGGAUUUUCCUUGCCGUCGUAUUUUUUAAGUUUUUCGAGCUUGAAAUUGCGGGGCCACACGACUUGGCGGAGGUGUGAAGAGAACUGCCUUAGGCCCGGAGGACCGUGGGUCGCGUCGUACUCGAUGCGGCGCAGGUUCUCAUGGACUGCUCUUUCUGCGGCGCGCCUGUUGAUGCGGUCCCGGGCAUCUUUGGGGGGGAUGUUGUGGCGGAGAUCCCUGUGUUGAUCUUCUUCUUCUUGGCCGCGUACGCGGUCCUGCUGGCGGCGGCCAUCGGCGUCCCGACCACCAUCAUCGCGCCGUGAGUCCCCUCGACGGUUGUCGGGGGAGCGGCUGCGGCGACGCCUGCUGGGUGAGGCCCGGCUACGAUGAGUCUGGUCGGAGGCGGCUUCCGUAUAAGAGGCGUCCUGGACUCUCUUGAGCAGAGCGGCUGUCUGUCCCAUUGCGGCGAUCAGGUGUGCUCGGAUACUGGUCCGGACUCCCUGGCAUUCGGGGGUGUCAGGAAGCCGAUCCAGAUUGGCCAUGGCGACAGCCACGUUGGCGCUUGGCGUUUUGUAGACCGGCUGGUCCCCGACCAUGUCGAAGGCAUCGUUGAGGUUGCCUGGCGGCGUCUGUUGUUGCUCGUCUGCACGCCGUCGGGCGCGCUCGGCGUUACGCUGUUCACGGAGUUGCCUCUGGUCGUCUGUUUCUCCGUCAACGGCUGGUUCGUCGGCGCUGACAUUGAAUACAAUAUCCCCUCGCCGGGGGGGGAAUAUCGGGAAUCGGUCGAAACCCGGAGGGUGUGAAGGAAAAUCCAGGUCAUAGUCCUCGUCUUCGGUGUUCACAACCUCGGUGGGGACGGAGCCGGUGCUUGAGUUGGUGCUGGAAACCUGGCCGUCCCGUAGCUCUCGGAUGGUCACCAUGUUGACAUGGUGGCGAUUGUUCCUUGUCGGCGACCAGCCCGCUUUGCUGAAAACGGAUUGGACAUGCCGUGAAUAAACAGAGGCCGAGUUGUUCAGGCCGCAAGGAUAGUCUUCCUUUUUGAGCUCGACGGAUCGUCCUGAGGGGGUUGAGGUUAUCGUCAGGGAUGUUCCCAGCCGUUCGUGUGUGGUGACACGAGUUGGCCGGCGGAAUUUCGAAGAAUCCGCUCGAGCGGCUUGGUCGGGCCGGCGCAGAACUCCAUCUAUUAGUUGGGAGACUUCGAAUAGCUUGGAGUCAGCGCGAUCGAGCGCUUGGAGGAGGUCCGAGCAGUCGAUCUCCCUUCCCUUGUAGAGCGGGAGCGGUGGUCGGGAGCUUGGUGUCGUCACGCGCGUGGUCGGAGACGACGUGAUCUCAGAUUGGAUCUGGAUCUCUUUCGGAACCGUGGUCGCGAAACCGCCGCUGCGCGUCGUCCACGUGAUUUGGCCGACGGUGAACGUGAGGCCUUCGGGCACGGUCGCGGAAGCUGGGAUCGUGACCAUCUUGUUCGCCGGAAAAGUUGCACGCACACCCCCUACCUGGCGCGCCACUGUCGACGAAAGCUGGUCGGCAGUCUACCUUGGGGUAUACCCACGGUAGUAGUUUAUCGGUAGACGGUGCGCAAACUACGAACUCGAUGGUGACGCAAGACACGGACAAGCUUUUUAUCCAGGUUCGGCCGCCGAGUUGGCGUAAUACCUACGUCCUGCGUCUGGUUGUAUUGGAUUGUGUUGAGAGAUUACGAUGUCCUAGGGGGGUCCCUUGUCCCUCCUUAUAUAGUCCGGAGGGCAGGGUUACAGAUCUGGAAACUAAUCCUAGUCGGUUACAAUUGCCAUAGAUAGUUCGAUAUCAAUUCCUAUUCUAACCGACUAGAAUUCUGUUUGAUCUCCACAUCUUGCUUCCUUGUGCGAGACUCCAGGCUGUCGGAUCAAGCCUUAAACUCGUCUCGUAAUGGGCCAAGCCUCCUGGCCCAAGUCUAGCCGUAAGGGUAUAGGGGUCUAUCCCCCCACAUGAGGGUAUAGGGAUUUAUACCCCCACAGUUAUUCUUGAACAACAAAGAAACUACAACGACAUUUGUUUUUCCAUUGUCAUGUUGUAAGAUUUAUUUUGAAGAUUGUUCAAAUUGUAUUUGGUUUAUAGCAGCCGAAUAUGUCAGCCGUUCAACAGUGUUUUUCUCUUAUAUUGUUUGUUAGUUUCUCUUAGGCAUUGGGCUCAACAACUAAUUUGCCUAAUGGAUUAAUUAUUGGUCCAUUCUUAGGCCUUGUUUAGUUCCUAGAAAAUUUUGCAAAAUUUUUCAGAUUCUCCGUCACAUCGAAUCUUUAGACGUAUGCAUGGAGUAUUAAAUAUAGACGAAAAGAAAAACUAAUUGCACAGUUUGGUCGGAAUUGACGAGACGAAUCUUUUGAGUCCAGUUAGUCCAUGAUUGGACAAUAUUUGUCAAAUACAAACGAAAGUGCUACAACGUCAAUUUUCUAAAAAAAUUUGAAACUAAACAAGGCCAGAAAAAGAGCACAACAAAACCAUAAUAAAGAGGACAUAUCGCUCGUUGGAGACAACGAUAAUGGGGAUCUUCAUUUCUAAUAGACUUAGUUUGUAGUGUAGCCUUAAGUUUGAGUUUGCCUCAAAUUUUACAUGGUUUAGUGGGUGAAGCUAUAGCUUCACGGGGAAUUUUGAUAAAUUUUGUAGAGUAAACAAGGCCUCAGUGGGUGAAUGAUGAACAAUUGAACACCAUCCAUUCAAAAACACAGUAGCAAGCUGGCCGGGACCGGAUGUCGCGGCGGAAUGUAAAUAUCUAAAUAAAAUAUAGAUUCUACCGACGAUCAAAAGAGAGAGAGGAAGAGGGUGACGAGCAGAGCGACAAGAAAGGACGGGACAAAAUAAAAGGCGAGCAUGUGACUCGGCAGUGCCCCGCAAGCUUUUAACCUCUUCUCCCGCUUUUCUUAUAUUCCCCCCAUCAUUCCGUUCUUUAUUACCACUGUGCUGGCAGCAUUACGUUACAGUAUCAGCAAGCGUAGAUAGUCGUGCUGACAGUAGUACGUCCUCGGUUUCGUAGACUAACUAGUUUCAUGACAAACAUGCGUCCUGUACUCUCCUGUCAUUAGCAGUGUCGUUAGGUAGGGUGGAUGUGCUGGAUGAUGACAACCAGAACGAACACUGGAAAAGCUUAUGCUAACAGGCAGGCAGAUGAGUUGUUUAUCCUCGCUAAACACGCACAACUGCCGGUGAUAUGUAGCACUCCUAGUACUGCUAGUAUAAUGCCAGCAAAUUCGACACUGCAUGUAGCAGUAAUACAUUAUGCUUUCCGAUGAGCAAGCAAAGCAUCUGCGGCCGUCUUUUCUGAACAUGACUAUCCACGCAGCCAAGUUGAUUUUUUUUUACACUUUCUCUGUAAAAAAGUACUCGUAUCAAAUUGCAUGACAUGUAAUGUGUUCGUUCAUCCAUCCGCACAAAAGAUUCUUCUUGGGAGGUAGUAGGAGAUCAGCAAGAGGAUUUCCUCCCUUUUUCUGAAAAUGCACACACCUUUUCCAUAAAAUCUAGGGGAACAAAUAAAAGGACGAAAAGGAUGGAGGGGAGGAGGUAGCUGCUAGGCAUGCGCGCCCGUGGCAGGUCAGGCCGGGUCGGGGGGAAAAGCGCUUGGCGGUUUGCAGCGGCGUGGAGUGGGUGGGCAUCAGCGGCGUCAGCAGCGGACAGCGGCCGCGGCAGCGGCAGGAGCAUGGUGCUGGAUUGAUAGGUGGGGAAGGGGAGGGAGGAGUGGCAGGGGCAGGCACAGCGAGCACAGGCUGCUGCCCUGCCCCUGCUCGUUGGCGUUUCUCUCCCCCCCUGCGUGCCCCCACUGUCCACACCCCACCAUCUUCCUCUGCGGAGCUCGCGUGAACCCCCCCUCGGCCCCCUCGCUUUCGCGCUGCGUCCGCGGUGGCAUCAUUGGGUAUCUGGACUGGACGAGGUCCGUCCGAUAGAGAGUGCCUUCUUCUUGGCUGCCGAUUUCGCGAGCGCUGCUGCCGCUGCUUCUUCUUCUUCCUCCCUGCUGCGGCGGCGGAAUUGUGCUUUGGAGCUGUGGAGUGGUGACUGGUCUGCAACUCCUCUUCUACGGCUCUGUGCUGGAUUGAAUCUGCGGGGUUGCGGCGAUGCGGGCGCGGGGGCCCCGGAUGUGGAUGAGGUGGUGGUGGGUGGCGGUCGCUGCUCUGCUCGCCGUGAUCCUGCCGCCGUCCAACGCCACGCUCUCCCCUGCCGGCAUCAACUACGAAGGUACCUACCCUGCUCUCCUCCUCAUUUCCCAAGUCUUAACAAAAUGCCCAACUUCUUGUUUGGGAAGGAAAAAGACACAUGCCGAGCAUUUUCUAUCAGGCAACAGCCGCAACACAGUUUUUUUUUGGCUGAAAUUUCUUGAAAAAUCCUCCCUCCUCCCCCCGAUCAAUCGCUGGUUUCAAAGACGAUGUAAAAGAUCCACUAUGAACAAGAACAUUAAAUGAAAUGUACCUGAUGUGCUGGUGCCUCCACAUCACUCAUCAUGUCUGUCGAGUUUUAGCUGUUUCUUGGCAUCACAAAUUUGGUGACGCUGAACCUUGCCUUGCCUGUGGCUGAAACGCAGUGGUGGCUCUGAUGGCCAUCAAGACGGAGCUGGAGGACCCCUACAACGUGCUCGACAACUGGGACAUCAACUCCGUCGACCCCUGCAGCUGGAGGAUGGUCACCUGCUCCUCCGACGGCUACGUCUCCGCCUUGUACGUUAGCUCCCUCGUUCAUGCCCGUUCUGAAGAGCACCAGCAGUUGCUGCUUUCGGUCGGUCUUCUCACAUGCGCUCCUUCGUUUGCAGAGGAUUGCCUAGCCAGAGCUUGUCCGGCAAGUUAUCACCCGGCAUCGGCAACCUCACCAGGCUGCAAUCUGUGUAAGUUUACUCGCCCCCCUAUUGUUUACCCAUAGCACUUCAAAAUUCAAACUUAAGGUUUUCUGAGUGCUCCAAUCUGGUUGAAUGAAUCAAGUGCUUUGUUAUGCUGAUCGACAGGCUGUUACAGAACAAUGCGAUUUCUGGUCCUAUUCCGGGUACGAUUGGAAAGCUGGGGAUGCUUAAGACUCUUGACAUGUCAGAUAACCAACUCACGGGGAGUAUCCCAAGUUCGCUUGGAAAUCUCAAGAACCUCAAUUAUUUGUAAGAUCCUUACCUCAAUGUUGAUUUUCAGCACUCCCGCUGAUGACAGUGAUUUUGUCUUGGCUCAUUUCUAGCUCUCUUAUUGCAACCAGGAAGUUGAACAAUAAUAGCUUGUCUGGAGUUCUGCCUGAUUCACUUGCCAGCAUUGAUGGUUUUGCACUCGUGUAUGCUCUGCAAUAGUGCAAUCACAUUUUAUUGUUUGUUUUUCUCUUUCCCUAUUCCAGUACUGAUUCACUUGAGUUGGCUUCUGUUAUAGAGAUCUUUCGUUUAACAAUCUCAGUGGUCCAUUACCCAAGAUUUCCGCAAGAACCUUUAUGUAAGUAAUUUUAAUUUUGUUCCUUUUCAUGGCUGAAAUGAUUUCUGCCUGAACACUACAUGCCAGGAUUACUGUUUGCAUAGUCAUGCGUUGAUUUUAUUGUUUGUUCAUACAGCAUAGCUGGAAAUCCAAUGAUUUGUGGUAAUAAAUCUGGAGGUAACUGCUCUUCUGUGUCACUUGACCCACUCUCUUACCCACCAGAUGAUCUGAAAAGUAAGAUCUCUUUCCACUGUUAAAAUUUGGGAAGGCAUAACAGAAGAAAAUAAAUACCUUUUUGUCUGGGUGGCACUCACAUAUGUCUCCUUUCCUCAGCUCAGCCACAACAAGGCAUUGGAAAGAGUCAUCAUAUUGCUACAAUAUGUGGAGCAACUGUUGGUUCAGUAGCUUUUGCCGCUGUUGUAGUUGGUAUGCUUCUUUGGUGGCGUCAUAGGCGAAAUCAGCAGAUCUUUUUUGAUGUUAAUGGUAAUAUUCUUUUUUAUUCUGUUCCUGUGUGACUGUGAUCAUGAUAACAGCCACCUAUAUCUAGAUGUAAGUCACAUUAGAUUAGCUUCUUUUUCGCAGCAACCGCUAGUACUUUAAGAUCUUAGAGCUUUCACCUUCUGGUCAGUCCCACAGUAAAUUUACAUGAAUGCAAGUGUUGUUAGUCAAUUUGAACCACAAGAGUUUCAGUAAACUGAAUAGCUGAGUUGUUUCCCCAAUGGCACUCGAGACUUGAGAGUUUUCGUUUGCAGCCAUGUGGCAUUAAUGAGGAGUUUCAAAAUCACUCAGAAAUUUGAACAUUAAAUAUAUGCACCUUGUAACAUUAGUUGUGUGUGCUAGUAACUUAUUACCAUCGACAUUAGGAGUAUACAGCAUAAAACUUAUGUUGCUUUUUAGUUUUUACUUGUAUGAUCUCCCAGUUACUUUUGGACUUUGGCGUGUGGGCUAUUUCACAAUCAUGAUCUCCUAGUUACUUUAUGUACUCUUUCUAACCUUUUAAUGAUCAUGAGGUAUUUUUAUCUUACCCUUCUAGACUCGCUUUGAUCUUUUUAGCAUUCUACAGUGUUUGUCCUUCUCUAGCAUGCUACAUUGUCUGUCUUUACAGCAGCAUGGUAAUUGAACCUGAUACAUUCUUCAAUGCGCAGAUCAAUAUGAUCCAGAAGUUUGUUUGGGUCAUCUGAAGCGAUAUGCUUUCAAGGAGCUCCGCGCAUCUACUAAUAAUUUUAACUCAAAGAACAUCUUAGGUGAAGGUGGAUAUGGCAUAGUAUACAAGGGUUAUUUGCGUGAUGGCUCUGUCGUUGCUGUGAAAAGGCUGAAGGAUUAUAAUGCCGUUGGUGGGGAAGUUCAAUUCCAAACUGAAGUUGAAGUCAUAAGCUUGGCUGUUCAUCGGAAUCUCCUCCGUCUUAUUGGAUUCUGCACUACAGAGAGUGAGAGAUUACUUGUUUAUCCAUACAUGCCAAAUGGAAGUGUUGCUUCUCAAUUGCGGGGUUAGUCGCUCUUCUUGCUCAUGACUUCCAUGUGCAUAUGCUGUUGCAAGCUGGAGAAAAUGUAUUUUCAUCACGCGGGGGGGGGGGGGGGGGGGGGGGGGGGGGGGCUAAAAAAAACACUUAAAAAUGCCCGCUGAGAAAAACUUGAGUGGUAAAAUUGCUAUCAAAGCUGUAUGAGUAUUUUGAAUUUGUAAAUGUUUUAACACUUUUGCAUAACUGUUAAAUAAGUCCCCUCUAUCUAACACGAAAUAAUUACCCAAUUUCUGGAUGCAUCAUAGUUGAUGUGAAACGUGUCGGCUUUCCAAUAUUUGCUUAGUGUUGCUGCAUACUGCAUAGAGUAUUACAAAAUAAAGUUUUGGACACCUUAUGCUUUCUAUAAACAGGCAAGCUAGCAUGAUUUCUAUUGUUGUGUUGCAGCUGGCCUUGCAUCUACUUAUCACAGAUAGUCACCACGUGCUCUAUUUACUGCUGAAAUCAUAAUAAGCAAAUGUGGUUUGUGCACGGUGUAAUGUGAUAAAUUAUAUGUAUCAUAUGGAUAUUACAGUCUAAAAAUGUAUUACCCUAAUAUAUACAAUGAUCUGAAUACCCUGUCACUUUUUCUUCGAACAGACAGGUAGCUUGUCUUUGCCAUGCCCUUCCAUUAAAGGUAUAAGGUGCCAUUGACUGUUGAAUUAUGUUGAUCAAAUUAAACCCUACUCAUGUUCCUCUGUGGAGCUCUGCAAUAGUGUUAUAUGUCCAUGCGUAUUAUUGCUUUCAAGACCAGUUUUGGACUAUGAACUGAAGCUACCAAACCAAUCUCUAGCUAUCUUCAACUCAAGGCAUGUGGUAUUAGGUUAAUCGAUAACCACAAACACCAUACGAGCCUCGUCCACGUGUAUUGUCCACUAUGUAUGCAAAUUAACUUUCUUUCAUUUUAUUCAGAACAUAUUAAUGGAAAACCAGCUCUAGACUGGUCAAGGAGAAAGAGGAUAGCACUAGGCACAGCACGGGGUCUACUCUACCUUCAUGAGCAAUGCGAUCCAAAAAUAAUCCAUCGAGACGUAAAAGCCUCCAAUGUGCUUCUUGAUGAAUAUUUUGAAGCAAUUGUGGGAGAUUUUGGAUUGGCAAAACUCUUGGAUCACAGGGAGUCUCAUGUUACAACUGCAGUGCGUGGGACUGUCGGACAUAUAGCACCAGAGUAUCUGUCAACUGGCCAGUCAUCAGAGAAGACUGAUGUGUUUGGAUUUGGGGUUCUGUUAGUUGAGUUGAUCACUGGUCAGAAGGCGUUGGAUUUUGGAAGAGUAGCGAAUCAGAAGGGCGGAGUGCUCGACUGGGUAAGCAUGAAUCUUGUGUUUACUUAUUCAAUUUCAAAUUUGCUUUCAAACUUUAAAUGAAAAAGGUCUUUUUCCUUUAUUAUACCUUGUUUUGCUCUGCCCUUCAGUUCAAUCUCUUGAGAGUUUUCUUUUUUUUUAAAAAAAAGAGCAACCCUUUGUAUUGUCAUGAACAUUUUCUCUUUGUCUGGUUCCAGGUUAAGAAACUUCAUCAAGAAAAGCAGCUAAACAUGAUGGUGGACAAAGACUUGGGUAGCAACUACGAUAGGGUUGAGUUGGAGGAAAUGGUUCAGGUGGCUUUGCUAUGCACACAAUACCAUCCAUCUCACCGACCCAGAAUGUCUGAGGUAAUCAGGAUGCUGGAAGGUGAUGGGCUCGCAGAGAAAUGGGAAGCGUCGCAGAACGUGGACACACCAAAGUCCGUCUCAUCGGAGAUCCUACCUCCAAAGUACAUGGAUUUCGCUGCGGAUGAAUCCUCACUUGGCCUAGAAGCCAUGGAGCUCUCCGGGCCAAGAUGACCAUCCAAUCGACCAGAUCGGUCGCCGCAGAGAUGCAUAGAUGUUUUGCCAUAUAAAGCCUAUUGUUGUAUUACAUGGGAGUUGGUUAGGUGUAGUCGUGUAGAGCCCCCCAACACAAGGGAAGGCGAAAAAUUUUCCGGUGGACUGUAGGGUGUGAUCUGUCUGUCUAUAGCUGUGGUGGCAUUCAUUUUGUACAUACAGCAGCAUUGUGUGAGGUGAGCCCAUCCUUGUUGCGCAUCUACUUGGUGGCAAAGAGAUGAGAUGAAUGAGUAUAGAUAGAAAUCAAAGGUUCCCGUGCGGUGCAGAGCAGUUGGUGCCUGUUUGUGUUUUUUUGCUUGCUGAAGGUGUGUGCCGUGCAGUUGACAUGCGUCAAUUUGUUUGACGCGUCAGUUCAUCAGCUUGUAACAGGGAUCCGUUGCAUCUGUUUGGCGCGUCAGUUCAUCAGCGGAGAAGUUUCCAUUGCUUACUGUCACGGGUUUUAAAACCAGGCUUGUUUAGCUGCGCCUAAUUCACCUUUUUCCGCGCACACAUUUCUCAUCAAGAGCUUGUUUGGCUGCAAUUCAGUCAACACCAUUGCGCAUUGAUUGGAAGCCUCCCAACCAACACGUGAUUUUAGUGCGGCCAAACAAACCACAGUGAAAAAUGUGUUAGUUGACCAAAGAGGUCUAAACUGAUCAUUUGAAUUCGAGCAGAGCGUGCAAUGCAAGCAGGCUGACAAUUCUGGAUACUGCAACAGAGCCUUGCUUCUAGCUUGCAUUUCUAAGUUGUUUCCCUGAAAUCAUAAGUGAACGUGUCCAAUUGAAUGACCAAACGUUAGUGCUCUGAACAGUCAAAUACUAAUUAAAUUGAAUCCUACUCUAGCAUUAUCGUCAGGGUGGAAUGCACAUUAUUAGAUCGGCCGAUCAGAUCCUAUGAGAAAAGUAACAUCUGUCUAAAGGGAACACCAUAAGUAAAUGCUCCAUUCUUCGAUCAUUCUUUUUUAUUCAUAAACCUCAAAGGUAAAAAAAAUCCAUUAUUCAUUGGUGCCGAACUGCAGAAGCCGCUACUAGUACAAAACAAAAUAUUUCAUACACCAAAAAGAGCAUACAUGAGUUGGCAAUCAGUGCUAUGGUUACUCCUGUGGUUUUGGUUGGCUGAUAAAAAUUUCAGCGGCGCAGGAGCGGGAUGAAGCAGAAGAGAAGGAAAAGGCCGAUGUGAAACUCAAUCAAGCAGUGCAAAGACUGGCUUGUGGAGGUCAGAGUGUUCUCAACGCCUUGAUCCAAUCAACCUCAAGCCUAAAAUCACCAGGCCCAGUCUUGGCACCAGGAACACCGCCUUCUGCGUUUACAGAGAGAGACAUCCCCACGAUUCGAGCAGGGUUCAUUUCCAACUUUGCCUCAAUCACAUUUCCUCUCCAUGUGGGUAAAUAGCGAUCAAGAGGGAUCUGUAUGGAAUGGGAACAGGUUCUUCAUCAUAAAAAAAAUCACAUAUUUCGAAUUUUGAAUAAUAGCAAGUGAUAAUUUACCUUCAAGACUUGCCAUCUGUCCUGGGAUAUGUACACAAAAGCCUGCCAUGAGUUGUCUUCUUGUUGUCCGGGUGAAUUCACCCAAUUCUCCGUGUAUAUCUGUACUUAAAAUUUCAGAUUCUGCAGAACAAUAUGACUGGACAUCAUAUAUUCAAAAGCAUCUCUUGUGUGGGAAAACAUACGGUAGAUAUGUAGCAUCUUCCAUCCCCUUUGAUCUUCAUUGCUAUUGUAUCAUAUGCAUCAAGGUCAAUGAAACCAUCAAACUGAAAUAGCAGAAAGGAAUUUUUCUAAUCAGCACUCAGAUUAACUUCUGCUUAAGCACCUAUAUUUGUUAUUUUAGUAGAGUUAGAAGGUAGUCUUAAGUAAUCAUCAUUUAUUGAAUCCUAAGACGCUUGAUAUGACUUCACUGACCUCGAGAGAACAAAACAGUUUGAUCUAAAGCCCUAGGAUGUUCACACCUCUUAAGCCUAGAUAGGGUAUGCUUAGCACUUGGAUUGGCAUUUCAAAGAACUUCUAUUUUGUUAUAUCUGGUUAGUAGUUGACAACCAUUUUUCAAGAGCUACCACAUAAAUAUUUUACCAUCACUGGUGACAACAUUUGUGCAUCUAAGGAUAGCACAACAUUGCUGAAAUCGGAUAAACAUUAUGGAAGUAACCAGGUUGGUACCACAGUGUCGCCCUAAACAGGAAAUGUACCUUCUUUGAUCGCAUCCCACAGAAUCCAUAGCGCCUGAUCCUCCAUGUUGAUUCCUCGGACAUAUCCAAAGAAAGAUUACCAGAAAACACACCUUCCAGAAUCCACAUGUCCAAAAAAAAAAAGUGACCUUACAAACCAGUCUAAGAAAAUUAUAAGUUAAAAAAAACACCUGCAUGUUUCAAUUCAAUUAUUAAAUAAAAUACAGCAGCUGGCAUCCACUAAUAAUUUGGAUUCAGUUCAGACAUUUUCCAAGAAAACCACUAAAACAAAUUUCAAGGUUAAUGAGGUUUAUUAUACUAAACGAAAGAAGCUACAAAUAUAUUAUUUGUUUUUUCUUGUACCAGAAAGUACUCAAUUUGAACUAAACUUCAAAUGAUUGGCACAAGCUGGAAAAGUUACAAUUCUUACCAGUUAAUGGAGUAUCUCCACCUGAAGUGCCAUCAGUUAUUUCCAAGGAUGCAGAAGACAAACCUGGAUAACAAUUUUGUCCUAUUAUAUUCUAUCAUAGAUGUAAAUAAGAAGCUAGGUACUUGCAGCAAAGCUGAAAAAUGUCCUUAAAAGAUAUAAGAAUUUAAUACACAUGUAGGGUAUUAUCAGUUGUAGGGAAAUAUAGUCUAUUGAAUCCAAAAGUCCACUCGUAUUAUUCUAAGCCACAAGUGUAUGAGUACACAACUAAAGUGUUAAUGUUUUUCCUGCUCCUGCAGAAGGGCAAGGUUCACCCAUGUAAUGUAUAUUGUCACUUCUAUCUGAUCCACUGGUUUCGAGACUAGCAGGAGAUAAUACAGUAGUGCACCAGUUUAUUCAGUAUCAAGUAUCCUGUACUGAUAAACACAAGGUGUGGUCGACUCCCAUUUGGAUCACUAUCUGGAAAGCAAGCUAUGACAGUGUUAUAUGUAAACCCUACAUAGAGUUCAAUAAUUCAUGCUGAUGGCAAAGAAAGGAGAAAAUGUAGGCAGCAAAGGGAGAAUUUGAUGAUCAAUGGAGUAUGGAUGCGAACAGGCCUCUAGCUGAGUUGGUUAGGUGGCUCUAGUAGCACUCCUCAGGUCUUGGGUCCAACUCCCCGUGGGAGCGAAUUUCAAGCUGGGGUUAGAGAAACUCCCCUAUCUGUCCCAACUCCCAAGCACCACGCCAAAGCACAGGUCUAAGGUUCGGCCCAGGUUGUGAUCAUGGUCGUUCUCACAUGGGUUAUGGUGCCGCUGCAUAUGGGUCGAGCAGGAGUUCGGGCCUUCUCUCAACCUGUGUGAAAAUGUCUUCUUAAAUGUCUGGGGGCUGGCUAGGAUGAUUCUAGAAGUAAUAUACUGGGGACUACCAGAACAAGGUUGAACUGCAAUACAUUUUUUCCGUUGUGAACCAUCAGCAACUCAAAAGAGCAUGUUCUUAACAUAUUCUGAAAGCAAAACCAAAGGAGCAUUUUCAAGUUUCAACACCAGGCAAUCAUCCAUAAGUAUCUCCCACUCUCCCAGUCACGAAGCAAAAGGACAAAUUAUACUAUGAUAUCAGAUCAGUAUUUAUAUAAACUGUAGCAAUUAAUAACAUUUAUAAAAGUAUAAUUCGAAAGUGAGGCAAUACCUCCAUACUCUGAAUCUGAGUACAAAUGCCACCUUUUCAGCUCAUCUUUUGAGUUGAAAUUGAAGAUAUAUCUUUCAGUUGGUGGAAUUAGAUCAUCUGAACUCCAUACAAGAGCUGCCAAUUAAGAAUAUAGGAAGAAAAAUUAAUAUAGACCAAGAUAGUUAAGGAGGUUAUGUAUUUUCCAGAAGAGAUUAUUCAGCACACUUAAAGGCAGAAUUUCCAUAAGUUCCUUGUUUACAGAUUAGCAAAACAUGCUAUUCCCUACAGAGACACCAUGAAUUCCACACACCACGUAUUUAUUUCAGAUCUGCAAUGCAUGAGUAGCAGCUACUAAGAUGCCUGAAGUCUACGACUGGUACAUAUGGAAUGAAACUGGCAUCAUAUUAUAUUAUAUUCUAUUCUAUUCAUAAAGAUAAUUCAUCAUGAUUAAUAUCUAGCUGACAAUCUGAUAUGCUUGCAAAUUUCAUAUCAUGUAUAAUACUCAACAUAUUUCAAUCUGUUACUAGGAACAUGAACAUUCUUAUUCUGCACCCUAGCCAUGCUGUACUCUUUGCUUUCCAUUCCUACAAAAGAAAGUUAAUUCCUCAAUGCUCGGGAUAAAGAUCCAUGACCUUGACUACAGAUUAUAUGGUUAUCAAUGAACGGCUCAACAGCACCAAAGAUUAUGCACGGCACAUAUACAUGCACCAUUACAUGUGUUACAUCGAGGAAAUGAACCAAACUUUGAUAGCGAGCAAGCAAAAAGGUUCUGACUUGAGGUAAGAAGCUACCUCUCUUUGUGGCGUUAAAGGAAGCCUGCCACAGAGCUCGCAGCCUCGACAUGGAGGUAACGGAGGCCAACUUCAGGAGCAGAUCUAGUAAAGAACAUUUUUAGAUAAUGGAUUCAUUAAUCUGGCCUCAUCUAGUAAAGAACAUGGGUGUCCCAAUAAUUUUUACAAAAAAAACUAAAAGUUAGUAGGCAUCAAAUAGCCAAAUAGCUUGAGGUAGUUUGGGGAACUUGGUUUUGCACAGCAUACAGGAAAGAGAAGGGAGUGGGAAUAUUUGGUGGGCACUCUUCUCUGGCGAAGAGAUCAGCGAAGGCUUCGGCGCCUGGUGUAGAGCAGCGGCAGUGGCGGUAGCCUAGAUAUAUGACACAUAUUCGAUCAUGCUUCCACAGAAGCAUAAUUCAAAUUUGUUUGACAUAGAAGUACCAGUUGUUCAACAUAUUAAAGACCGAAAUAUAGAGAGGAUAUGAAACGACAAAAUGGUUAAAAAAAACUUAUAAAUUACAGGCAGCUUUGCUCUAGGUAAUUCUCACUGGUUGUAGCUCUGCUCGUUCAAUGUCAUUCACAAGUUGACUCCAAUAAUGCAUUGAAAUGAGAAGCCAAUUGGGUGAUUGACCGAAUUAAUAACUUACAAAAUUCAAUUCAGUGGUGCUGGUGGACAGAACAGGUGGAGUGGUGGCUGGCUCUGCUGCAAUCACCAAUCUCCCGGUGCCUUGGCCUCUCGGUGCCGCCCAGCGCCCAGCCGGCUGUGGAGGCUCCAAUCGGCACUGGCUCACUGGCUCUGCUCCAAUCGGCGGAAUGGCAGACCGCCGGACACCCUUUGCUGAGCGCUCUGUACUCGACUGCCCGACCUGCACGCCAGCAGCGGCCGUCUCCACGCCCUGCCCCAGCGGCCGCCCGCAAUCCCCGCCCCAGCAAACAGCGACCAGCCGCCCGGUCACCGCCGCUGCGCCACCCCGCCGCCGCCGCUAGCGUUUCGGGAAUUUGGGAGAGUAGAAACGAGAGGAGGAAGACCGAACGACUCUGGGUCUCUGGGAGAAGCUGCUGGACCUGCUAAUGCCUAAUGGGCCUUGUUGGGCCAGGGAUAGGUAUAGCCUUAUAGGAGAAUGAAUGUUUGGGCUGAAUUCAGAAAUUUGCUGACAUUUUGACUAUCUUUUCAUAUACUUUCCCCUAAUUUUUGGUCCUUCACUUCAUCAUUUUGAUGAAGUGUCCAACUCUGACUAAUGUUCUCGUAUCCCAUUAAGGAGAUAUCAGCAAAAUAAAAGGAAGCGUGUAAAGGGGAUUAACAUGAGAAAAAACUAGUUCUUUGUUAAUAUUAUUCUGUUGUGUUUAUCAUGUCACCUCCCUUUCAUUUCCCUUAGCUCUUUUCUAACUUGUCCCAUUUUCGGAUAGAUGGCAUUCCUACCAACUCGUCUAGGAAGACAUCCAUAUACUCACGGAGCUCGAGCACAUCUUGCAAUGUAUUCUCUGUCGAAGCAUGAAGUCAUCUCUCUCUCUCUCUCUCUCUCUCUCUCUCUCUCUCUAAAUCAUACAUUCAAUGUGUAGCAUCAAUUUGCACAAAACCACCAGGGUGCUCUGGGUUAAUAGCUCGGGGAGAACAAGAGAUCAAAUCCUUGUGUUUGGUUAACCAAUCCAUCCCAAGAAUCACAUCUAUAUCACCAUCUAACUUCAGAAUUAUCAAAUCUGCCAUAAACAUCCAUCAUCUUAUCUUGAGUCUCACUGCCUUACAUGCUAAGGUGCAACUAAUAUCCCAAAUGGGUGAGCUAGAGAGAGAGAGGUUACUUGUUUAUUCAUACAUGCCAAAUGGAAGAGUUGCUUCUCAAUUUCUCAAUUGCGAGGUUUAUCACUCUUUUCGCUCCUAACUUCCAUGUGCUUUGUUGUAAGCUAGACCAACUUUUUAAAUUACACAAGUUCAAAAGGUGUAUUUUUUCACAAGAGGGGGUAAAUGUCUAUAAAACACUUAAUAAAAUGUCCACUAAGAAAAACUUGAGUGGUAAAAGGGCUAUCAAAGCUAGAUGAAAAAAUUGAAUAUGUAAUGUUUUAACACUUCCACAUAAUUGUUAAAAUAAGUUUCUUAUAUCUAACACUAAAUGAUUACCCUAUUUUUGGAUGCAUCAUGGUUGAUGUGAAACGUGUCAGCUUUCCAAUUUUUUGCUUAAAUGUUGACGCGUCAAGGAGAAAGAGGAUAGCACUAGGAACAACACGGGGUCUGCUCUACCUUCAUGAGCAAUGCGAUCCAAAAAGAAUCCAUCGAGGCAUAGGUGUAGUUGAGUUGAUCAUUGGUUAGAAGGUGUUGGAUUUUGUAAGAGUAGCUGAAUGUGCAUCUAGCCCUAACCCUUAAACCCUAAACUCAUCGUCCUUGGACAUUAUGUGUAUAUAUGGAAUGUUUGGUUUUAUGACUUAGGUGUCCCAAACUAAAUCAUGGUCAUGGACAAAUUAGGGCAAUGACAAAGUUAGACCUAAAAAUGAUGUUUGGUUUGUGAUGAAGCUGUCCUCGUCGACAGCAAGAUGCCUGUGAUGACUUCGUACUGAUCUGUUGGCUCAGACCUUCGGAGGUGCUCAUAGGGUAGGAUUUGCGUACAUAUGUUUAUAUGUAUGUGUGUGUUGUCAGUGUCUAUGUUGUAUUGUGUAAUUCUAAAAAAAUCGGCCAAUACCAAAAUCUGGAGUGAUCGAGAAUGUUUGGGAGUCAUGUUAAAUUUUGUUGUAUAGUUGUGAGUUUGAACAUGUAAGGAGCCUAUUCGCUUGAGCUUAUCUGCCGAAUAUGUGAGUCAUUUAGCAAUGUUUUUGUCUUAUAAUAAAUCAGCGAACAAUACUUUCAGUUAUGAUUUUUCUGCUAAGCGAACAUGCUCAGGUUUAUAUGUCAUUGUUUUAUUCUUCAAUGAAACAUGGCCAUGUGCGAUUUUGUUUUCCAGAUAAAAAUCACAAGGAAUGCUAUGAUAAAAAAAAUAGUUACAAAUAAGAUAUAUAGUUAGGCAGAUAUUAACAUUCGAAGCUUCAAUUAUCUAAAAGUUUUGAAGCAGCAGGCCAAAUUCAGCCGAGUGAAUUCUUGAGCAGGAGGUUGGCCAACUUUUGACCAUUGACGUUAUGACAAUUUUAUAUCGCUUAGAGAAGCUUGAGCCCCGGAACUAAAUAAGGGUCUUAUUUAGUUACGCCCGAAAUCUAUUUUUUUAGAGUUUUCAUUAUAUUAAAUCUUACAACAUAUGCAUGAAGUAUUAAAUAUAGAUAAAAAUAACUAAUUGUACAGUUUGUUUGUAAUUUACGAGAUAAAUCUUUUGAGCUUAGUUAGUCCAUAGUUGGACAAUAGUUACUAAAUACCAACAAAAAUGCUACAGUAUCUAAAAACUUUUUACCCGAAGAACUAAUCAAGGCCAAAGGAAUAGUUUUGUAAGAGAGGUAAGUUUUGGUUCUCUUUACUAGGUCUAAAACCAAAUACUCCCCCGUAGUAUAUGAAUAGCAGUCUAGCACAGCGUUCAGGCCUGGUUUAGUGGAGAAAAAUUUUGACUUUAACUAUUAAAACAGUUUUGUUUAUAUUUAACAAUUAUCAUCCAAUCACGCACUAACUAGGUUCAACUGUGUAAUUAGUUUUUUGUUUUGGUCUACAUUUAAUACUUCAUACAUACCUCAAAAAAUCGAUGUGAUAGAAAAUCUUAAAUUUUUUUUAAACUAAACAAUGCCUCAAGGCCUCGGUUCCAUCAACAAAGGCCUUGUUUAGAUGUGAAAUCUUUUUGGAUUUCGCUACUGUAGCACUUUCGUUUGUUUGUGGUAAAUAUUAUCCAAUUAUGGACUAGCUAGUAUCAAAAGAUUCGUCUUGUGAUUUACAGAUAAACUGUGCAAUUAGUUUUAAAUUUCGUCUAAAUUUAAUGCUUCAUGCAUGUGCCGCAAGAUUCGAUGUGACAGAGAAUUUUGAAAACUUUUUGAUUUUUGGGGUGAACUAAACAAGGCCAAAAUAAAUGUAGUAGCACAGCACGGGCUGUCCGUCUCUGUAGAUGGAGCGAGAGGGAAUGAUAUGAUGCGGCCCGCGUGCCAGUCGUCGGUGCAGCAGCGCUGUUGCAGCUUGCAACAGCAAAGCAAGCUGGCAGCUGCAGGUAGUAGUGAUCAAAGUGCAGUAGGAGUAAGAGACUAGAGAGUGUAGUGUGUCCACGGCGAGUUGUUAAAAAAAGCGUGAUGGCGAUGGAACCGGUCGAUGGCGAGUGUUGGCUACUGCUGGUUGCCGGAUGCUUCUCCAUGGGGCCGGCCAUGCAUGCAUGGCGUCGUCGUCGCACUCGCUCGCUCACCAACUGUUUGGUCGAUGCGUCUCCUCGCAUGCAUACAUGAUACAUGCAUGCAUGCAAAAAGGCAGGAACGAAAGCUCCCAUCUCUUCGCGAGCCUUUUUAAUUUCUCUCCCUUGUCGUGAUGAUCCGGGAGGGAUACCUCUCGCUUGCAAUGCUCCAAGCGGAUAGCCGGAGACAGUUUUGGGAGGACUGGACCGGGCAAUGCAAAUUGAGCAGCGGAUCUUCAGCGAUCCCGAUAAUGGCAGACGACCAAAAAGGUCCACCGUGUUUGAGAGGUAAAGGGCGCGCGCCUUUGUCUUGCCUUGCCUUGGGAAGGAACCUGUUGUGUUGUCGCGUGCUGACUGGCUAGUAGUACGUGCGAGAGACGUCCGUCGGAUAUGACAAUGUCCUGCGCGUCCUGCCUGCGUGCACCGCCUCACAUGGCAUUCCCCGGGUCGCGGCAUGGCAUGACAUGGCAUCAUCCGGACACGGACCGGGUCGUGGCAUGGCAUGGCAUGGCAUGACGACGGGAGUGCCGUGUGCGGCAGCGGCUGGAGGCGGUCAAGCAAGCAGGCGCACAUGCAUUGAUGGAUGCCCUUGUCGUGGACUCCCCAUCCGGCCCCUUGGCAUCGCCGCACGCCGCACGGAGACACGGACGCGGACGGGGGGGGCGCCGGACCACGGCGUGCCGCGGGUGGACAAGGCCGACAGGCAAGCGAACAAACAGGGACGGGGACGUGUGCACCGACGCGAUCGACGCCCGCCGGCAGGCAGCGCGAGGCGACGGACGGACGGGGGCUCACCACCGGGCCGGCUCCACUCAUUGCGCCUUUGUCCGCCGCCCACGUCAAAUCGAGUCGCCCUUCCUCCUCCUCUUCUUCUCGUCGUCGCCUUCCUCCUCCCCGUUGCGCUGCUCCCGUCGCAUCAUUGCCGAUUAUUACAGCGCCACCACCACACGCCAUUCUUCUUCGGACACGGACACGGACACGGCGCGCCCACUCCAUUCCUGCAUGCCUUGCCCCCCUCCACUCUCUCUCUCUCUGUCUCUCCGGCUCUCCCUCGCAGCCCUCUCUGCCUGCCUACUGCCGUUAUCUAUCUCCUCGCCCGCCCGUGUCAGCGCAGCGCACCGCGCGUCGUGUCAGCUGUCUGUCACCGGCCGCGGCCGUGUCUGUCGUCCACGCUCUUGCCAGGCCGGGCUGGCGGCCGGUGGCUGACCAGGCGAGCGAAUAGAUAUGAGCGCCGCCAGGUGCCUCAAGCUCGCGCUGCUCCUGUCGCUCAUCCCGCUGGCGCUCAGGGCGACGUCGCUCCUCCUCAGCGGCCACGCCGUGCCGGCAACAGCGGCAUCGUCUCGCCACUCCUGGACCGCGCGGCGGCACUGGCGGAGCAGCAGAGCCACCGCCACCGUCGUCUCGGCCGUGCCACCGGCGCGCGACCGGGGCCGGCCGUAUCGCCGCCACGCGACGCACCGGCGGCGGACCGGGUCCGCCGCCUCCUCCGACGGCGGCACGAGGCGGCUCCGGCAGGCCGCCGCCGCCGCCGGUGGCCGCGACAGCUGGUUCGAGGACGACAAGAGGCUGGCGCCCACGGGGUCCAACCCGCUCCACAACCUGCGAUGACGGCGGGCGGGCGGACGGACGGCCGCCGCCGGCGCCCGCGCUGGUGGCUGCCUGGCUGCUGCCGUCGCUUCGUUCUCGGCUCGUGAUCGAAUCUUUUCAGGUCGGCACGCAAAAAUGGCGACGACAAUUUGCUCCCGGUAAAUCUCGGUCCGUGAUUUCUUGAUACCAUCAUCAGCUACCGUGGUGGUACACGUACGUACGUGCUACAUACAGCGCUUGCUUGCUUCGAGUUUGUCAAUGUACAUACGAUUUGAAUACUUGAAUUGAAUUGGUGUGACUGCGAAGAAAUACGAGUUUUUGUCAAUGCAUGUUUGCUGUUUGCCUGCAUUUCCUUCAAAUAACCAGUACGUAUGCUUCAACCGUUGCGUGUAUCUAAGCACACGAUGGAAAUUGUAAAAUCCUCAUGGAUUAAAAUGUUAACAGCAGCUCAGCAGUCAGCACUACCUGAACACUGGAGCUAUAAUUUUAGAGGGCGUAAUUUCGCACGAAGACAUUAGAACUGGUCACCUCUAAAUUUAGUUUAUCUGAAAAGCCAUGACUAAAAGAAUUGUCCGCUGAUUUGUUAAUUAUGACAGAAAAACACUACUAAAUAGCUGACGCUGACGUAGAUAAACUCAAGUGAACAUAACCCUAAUCUGCUAGAAAGAAAGAAUAGUUUCAGACACUCACUUGAGGCCAUAAUUAACCAACUCGAGUGCUUAGACGUACAGUACUGUACAUGCUACAAUCACAGGCUGGGAAGCUACACAGCAGACUUGACUAUUCAGAGUUUACUCCGGCACAGUCGCACAGAGGAGUCCACAGGACCAGACGCGGACAGUACAACAGACGCCCUUUGGUGCUCCAUGCAUUCCACUUCCACAGUUUUCUUUUUCUCCCCCACAAAAAACAAAAGAAUAAUAAGAACAGAAACAGAGGAGACCUUUACUGUAGGCUGUAGUUAUAGUAGUACCAGUCUACCAGUGAAGAAAUUAGACAAGGAUCUUUCAAAAAAAAAAAAAAACGAUACUCCUACUUCAAAAAGAAAUUAGACAAGGAGUACAGGCGAGAUUCUGCAAAAUUUUAGCAGCCUCUCCUGCAAUGAUGGUGUCGCCGAAUCAUCCCGGCACGGCACGCCGAAAACCAACUGAUGUGAAGGCACAGACGGACGGAAUCCCUAAUCGCUGCAACUAGAGACAAGAGCCGCAGUACAACACUGACCACAGAUCUAAUAAUCCGACUUUGAAUUAGGGAAGCAAUUUUUUUUAAUCUCCCUCGAGAGCAAGAGUGCAAGACAGAUCAUAAAAACUAACCGUCGUCGUUAUUAUCUGAUUGUGCAGUAGUAGUAGUAGUACAUGCUAACACGAAAAGGUAGUAAAAGUGAGCGGGACAAUAAGCAAGACACUGUCAACCGUUGACAUGAUGAUCACAGAGCAGCAGACAAAUUAAGCAAACCCCCCUGAAGCCCUGAUCAUCAGAACACUACUAAAAUUAAACUAAAGCGAUAGAUAUGACGCGAGACAACACAGCAGGGCAUAGUACUAGUACGUGAUCAUGCAGCCGUGAGGUAGCAGUAGGCUCAGUCUCAGUGGCCGGGCGGCUCGUCGUCGUCGCCGGCGACGACGGUGAUCUUGCCCUGGUCGAGCAGGCUGUAGAACUCGCGGGUGCGGCGCUGGUUGCUCCAGUGGUGGAGCUUCCACAGGUACCCCGCAAAGAGGCCCAGGCUCAUGCCGUACACGAUCUCCCUCAGCACGCUCGGCGGCCGCCGCCGCCUUCCCCUGGCCGUCGCGGCGGCGGCGUGCGUCGCCACCUUGUGCGCCGUCGUCGACAUGGCUGGCUGCUCUGCUUUUGCUCUUGGUGCGGGCCGAGACGCACGGCACGGAUGGUGAGAGUGACACGAGCUGACGCGAUCGAGGUGCACUUGCAUUUGGGAUUUGAGUGGCGAGAAGCUAGCAGGCAGCAGCGCGCCGUGUCAGCUGAGAAAGCAAGCACGUGUGGCGGAGCUGCGAGACGCGUGUAGGCUCGGCUCCACGUGGCAGGCAUGACGCCGCUGACCAUGCACGUGACAAGGCCUUGCCUAUCGGUCGGUGCGUUCUGCUUGUACUGGGUUUCAGGUGCUCGAUCUGUAACCUCUCUGCAUCCAUGCAUGAUUCGAUUUUUGCCCAAGGACUCCAUCCGUUCCCCUAAAAAAAAAGUUCUGACGUCUCGCUCUUCAAGCAAUCAAUUUUUUAAAGUUUUAUUAUUGCUAAAUUAUAAAAUAAAAUAAUAUAUAUUAUAAAAUACCUAUUAAUAUUAGUAUAUUAUAAGAGUAAGAUAUAAUAAAAUAAAAUUGGACUUCUCGAAGAGAAGAAGGAUACGUGUUUUUUUAUUUCUUUUUUACGUUCUACAAUUCUACCUUCGACUGUCCAACUCCAACGUGCGCGGGGCUCGACGACCUGAAAUCGAAAUGUCGCCGAUCAGUCAUCUUGCACCGUUGGCGUGUCGACACGAUCUGACUUGCAGUCCAUAUAUUCUGUGCUGGAGAGGGUCCAGAGGUUCUCGUCAGCCAUGGAGCGUGCAGUUGCAUGAUUGCGUCUGGUCCGGGCCUCUGAACUGACGCUGCAGUGAGCACGGCCAAACCUGAACAGUCACCACCACCACCGUAGACAUACGGUUGAAUCGCAGCUGGACAGAAAAGACUUCAGCGUCGGUGCCUCCGGUAGUGUCCCGUCCCGCCCUGUCCAGUUUGGGUUUUGGAGUUCAGAGCUGUGGCAAAUGUAACAAAUCGAAGAAAUGGACAUGGGAAUUUGCGAGAAAAUUUUAAUCGUGAACACAAAAUUACAACAGUUAUCAGAGUUUUCUGAGGCUUGUUGACACGUCCUCCUAUCUUUACUGGAACAAAUGGAGGCAAAGGAUGCUAGCCAUGAAACUCAGCUUACGAAAGUCAACUGCCUAAAUCCGUAACAUCACAAAAUAAAUCCAUCGAGAACUGUACGAGUCUAGGAGAUGAUAAAGAAUACUACUUGUCCAUGAGUUUUUUUUUUUCAAGAUCGCGACUUCACGCGUUUUUCAUUAAGAAGAAGAGCCGAAGGAACGACAAAGUAACCGAUACAAAGGAUUCACAAAUAAUCCAUAGAUUACCAACGAAGUCCCUAACACAAACGAAAAGCAAGAACAGAGAGGGAGGGGUCCCUCCACUUGACAACCCCAGCUAACUGAACAUAAUAAAAAAGGAACUCAACACUUUGGAAGCCAGCAGUGAAGUAAAGUCGUAGAAGACGAUAGCGGCAAUAGAUGCAGGCAAAUCAUAGCUGGUAAAUGGGAUCUAGAAUUCCAAAUAGGACAGACAUGCAUGUGAUCAAGUAAUACUAAAAAUCCUUUAUUAUUCUCAACAUUAUCUUAUUUUUAGCUAUCCACAACAAACUGCUGCCUUAAACAAUAUUUGGUGACCUGACAGAUGAGAUCCAAUCUGUGCUUGACAUAGACCACAUACAGUGGCCUGCAUUUAUGUCCCAUACGCUCGUGAUAGUGCAAUCGUAGUGAAGGUGGUGCUCCAGCCUUCCAGGUAGCAGAUUUGUGUCUUGGGAGCUUUAAAAUCUGUGGAAGACAACUGUUAGGUGGUGUUAAAAAAAUUAUUUACAGUGUCAAUAUGGAUUUGAGCCCUAUAGAGCACAAUGCACAAACUUAGAAAAUAAACGAAAUUUGUUUCACCUUAAUUUUAGGUGAAAUGCAUUUUUUAUGAAUUUCACAAUUUUCAUCAUUAUCCAAAGUUAUAUGUGGCAAAAGUACUUUUGUUGGUGAAUUCCUAUGCCACUCCCAAUCCAAACCCAUGGACCAAUGCAAACUCUGCACACAAAAUGCAGAUGCCUAAAGCUGUAACUUUACAAACAAAUUGCAAUUUUCAACUAUACAUAUAUUAUCUAAACCAUCCAAACAAUGCUAUAAUUAGGGCAUGUGCAGCCUGAAGCCCUGAACUUUAGCUCCAAAGUCAUUCCAUAUCAGAAGAGAAAACAUAUUAAACAGUAACCUUUUUCUUCUAUCCCUUUUAACCUUUACAAGCCCGUCAGUUCUCCUCCAGCCUCCAGUAUCUAAUUAUAUGGUCAGCUAUCAGGGGAACACACAUUCUUUACUUUGAUGACUCUCCUGACCAGCAUCAUAAAAGUUUCAGCAGAGGGGACAAGCCUCUCAUUCUCUGCCACCAUCAUAUCAUACAACCAAAGUGCCCUCUUAGCAUUGCGCUUCUCACAGUAACCGCUGAUAAGCAUAUCAUACAAGUCGCUAGUCGGGGCCACUGUUUUCUUCUUCAUCAUGAUAAAAAACUUUUCAGCUUCCUUCAAAUUUCCACACUGGCAAAGGCCCUUGAUCAAGGUCGUAAAAACCUCAACACCAGGAUCAAGCCCUCUGUGCUCCAUCUCAUGGUAGAGGUUGACAAUACCUUGGUUAUUGCCAACCUUGCCAUAUCCAUUAAUAAGGCUCAAGUAUGUAUCCUGAUCAGGAAGAAGUCCUUUGUCCAUCAUUGCCGUCAGCACAUUGUUUGCCCUGUGAACCUCUCCUGCAUUGCAGAGUCCCUCUAACAUCUCAUUGCAGCUGCCAAUGUCCAGCACAAAACCUUCCUCAUGCAUGUUGUCAAAAUAGGCCAGGCCUUCCUUUAUCAUCCCUUGUCUGAAACAACCAGCAAUGAGAUGAUUGUACGUAGCAUCAUACGGUUUUGCUCCCAUGGAUAACAUUUCUUGGUGCAACUGAGCAGCCUUGUCCAUACACCCUUCGCAGCAAUGCACUCUGAUGAGGCAAGUGUACACGAAUGCAUUCAGACGACGACCACGACGAACCAUGUCAUCGCAUUGCUCGAGUGCUGACAUGAGAUCACCAAUGCGGCAGUAGGCAUGCACCAUCAGUGAGUGAGCAAUGUCGUCGAGGAGAAUGUUCCUCUGCAGCAUCCUCUUCAGCAGCAAUAUCACCUGCUCCACCCUCUCUUCCUCGAUCAUCCUCAACGUGAGUGCGACGUGCGCCACAAUGCCAGGCGCACACUUCUUACCAUGGAUCCUCUCCACGAGCGCCGCGGUCCUGGCGAGCUUGCCUUCCCGGCUCAGGACGCCAAUGACAAGCUCGACGGUGCUCUUGUUGGCAUACAGUCGCUUCAGCGUCAUAAGCUCGAACACUUCCCAUGCGACACCGAACGACCCAGCGCGCUGCGCCGCGUGCAGCGCGGCGUUGAAGGCGGAGAGUGAGGGCAGCACGCCGCGCCGCGCGAGGUAGCGACAGGCCUCGAGGGCCUCCGCCGGGAGGCGCAGCCGCGCGUAGGCAUGAACCAGGAGGUGUAAGCCGCGGGUCGUGGCGGCCGUGCCGCUGUCCUCGUAGGCGGCGAAGAAGGUGUCGAUGAAGCACGAGGCGGGGGCCGAAGACGACGAGUGCCUGGAGAUGGCUGACUCGAGGAGGACGGAGGCGUUGCGGAAGAGCGCGGCGCGGGAGAGGAGGUGGACGAGGAGGCAGUAGGACCGGAGCGAGUGCGAGGAAGAGGAGGCUGCGGCGGCGGACCAGUGGAAGAAGGUGAGGGCAUUCUUGGCGACGGGCUCGGGGGAGGCGUGGGGGUGCCUGGCGAGGGAGAGGAGAACGGCAUCGACGUGGCCGUGGGACACCGCGCCGGCAGGGAAGGCGGCGGAGAGCGCCUCCCAUGUCGCCCGCGGCUGGUGCGCCAGGUAGUGGGAGAUGUGUUGAGGCGUCGCAUGUGUGGCGGCCGUGAACAGCGCUGAAGCGGGCGUGCGACCGUGCAGACCGCCGCCGCGCCGCGCGACGGCGUUCACGGCCAUGGAAAUAGCGUUGCAAGCUGCGCGAGCUCACGUUGCGGCAACCUCGCUGCACCUAAGCAUGGUUGCGGUAGUUCAGAAAUGGCAACGUUGCGGAAGUGCGCGUUUGUCUCGUUCAGAUUGGUGAGAGAUUUUGAUAUUUGACUGGCCUUGAUCUGAUUUCUCUGUUUAGAGAUAUUUUGAUAUUUGACAUUCAAUUGGCGAGCCUUUCAAAAUUUGACAAUAACCAACACUAUCACGCUAGCCAUCUUUGCUUGUUCCCAUCUAUUUUUUUUGCUGAUUAUAUUGCUAUAUAUGCAGUCAAAAUAUUUGAAAGAUGCAGGUUGCGAGUUCUUUGCACUGGCAAUAUGGAAAUUCAGUCUCGCUCUAGAUAUGAGUAGUGAUAGGCUCCAACAACAAUACUUCGUUUGAAAAAAAAAGAGUUCGUUCAUUAUAUGACACUACCCAUUAAUCAGCAGAUCAUUCUGUCAAACUGCACUCUGAACUUCUGUGCUAGCCUGUUCGCUAGUCUGAAACCCAUAAUUUAUCGUCAAAAAAAAAAUAUUUGUUAGCAGAAAAGGUACGGCUUAUAAUAAGUUUUUUGGCCCUGAAAAACAGACUCUUGACUUUUGUGCUAUAUAUUUGUCUGUGAAAAACAAACUCUUGACUGCUGUAGUGCACUAGUGCUCCAAGUUUUGUGCAAACAUUCAGUUUUGUCCAAUAGAAAGGAACACCCGUGAGGUAGUCAUCUAUUUGAGCCCCAAGGAUCGUGUCAGUCCGAUCAGACAGCGGGCGGUUGAGCAACUGCACACGAUUUGCAAAUCCUCCAAUCGCAAAUUCAGCAUCUCAAGCGAGUAGAUUUUUUUUAAAAAAAAAAACUCAGAGCCGUAUAUUUCUUUAACUGAUUUUACAAGCAAAAUUAUUCGAAGAUUACAUCAGGCCUAGGACAUAUCUUCAGAUGACAGUGCCAAGUCAUGUUCUGUCCAGUCCUAGCUGAGUGAAUUUCAAGCACAAGAUUCCGUAUCUUCAGAUUUUAUUAUUUUCUAUGUAGCAAGAUCCACCUGAUCAGUGCAUGUCAAGUACACUUAUUUAAUCUGGCUACCACACAUAUACGUAUUGUUCUUUUGGAGUGAAGCUUGUAAACAGCAGUGUUCAUCGGGCUGACUGCCCCUACAUGUGCUCCUUCACAACCGUCACAGGGCAUGCCGCGUAGUUCACAAUAUAGGUGCUCACGCUCCCCAUCAGAGCCCUGCGUUCAGGCAACAACAACAGCUGUUGGUAAGGAGAGAGAUACCACGCUAGGGCAAAGGUUAAACUUGAACACAAUCUUGAGUGCAGGGAGGUUCAAGAUCAUAAAGUUCAGAAAUUACAAACUUUGCAUGUUUUACCUCUUGAGCGUGCUUAGUCCUCUGCUCCCGAUAACCAUGCAGCUAAGGGAAACCAGGUCAACUGCUUCAUAGAGCUUCUUUGCCGGGUCACCGUAGAAUAUCUUUGCAAAGACUUCAAUCUGCGGUUAUGUAGUUUCAAAAGCUAAGCAAUCAGCUCACGCCAAUAGUAACUCCCAGAAAGAAUUGAGUACUGAAAAGCGGUGAAUUGAACGAGCCAAAACCCAUACCCCUCUUUGAUUUGCCACUUGAGUGAGGAUCUCAAUUGUCUCCUUGUCCGGUGAUACACCAUAUGUCCUGGUGACAUCUGAGAACUCGGCCAGAGGGAUGAGUGCUACAACACAAAAGAAUGUACAGCUAGGAUAAACUCAUACUGCCAACGGCAACAGGUAAAUAUUCAAGUCCUGACUUUGUGAGCCACAUCAAAUCAACUUGAAACGAAGCAGAGAAGAAGAGGCAUCAGUACUCACGGGAACCACUCUGCUCCCAGAGAUGAACAGCGCCCUGCUCAUUCUGAUAGGAAUUGUUCACAUGGAUUAGUAUGAGCUUAUCACCGUUCCUGGCAAGGUUUGUUGAUGCCCAUCGCAGAGCUGCUUUGCUGCAUGACGAGAAGUCCACUGCGACUCCAAUGUUCCUCCCAGCCAUUUCCCUCACAACUAAUUAGGAGCAGCUAACAGCCUACAAAUUUCCAAACCAGUAUGCCUGACAAUAAGGCAAUGAAGUUUCAGAUAUGGUAUUCACUGCUGCUGGCCAGGUCCUUAUAUAAACAGAUAACUGCAACUUGGAAAUACCAGACAAAACGAGAGAGACAGAGAGAGAAAUACUGACGUUACCUUUCUUUACUUUUCCCAAAAUUCCUUUCCCAUUUCAAAUGAAUGAUCUUUAUGCCUUGGUUUCCUUUACGCGAUUCCUUAUCAUCACUUUAGCUGCCUAGAAAACAUGUUAGAAUGCUGACUUCCGUGAAUGAAUGAAACUGAAAACAGUGAGCAAAGUAAAGAUUCACGAUGCAAAGCAACAAAGUGACAACGAGAAUGUUAUUCCAGUUUUUCCAUACAAUUAUCACUGCAAUUACAGAUUCUAGCAAAUCGAUUCACUGAAGAAAUAUCACCUGCAAGGAGAGUACCGGAGUAGUGAUCAAUAGUGUAACUCUGAUGUAAUACUGAUCAUGAUUCAUGACCAAAAGAGGAAGCAUCUCAAAAGCCAUUUAAAAAGGAAUAAACUAUAAUGAGUUGCAGCCAAUUCUGAUGAAAUGAGAGCUAAGGACUACAAUUGAUUAUUAUUUCAAUAAUUCUGUUUCAAGUGACUGAUUAAUAGCAACACGCUAGUAGCAGGAAGAAAACUAACGGAUGGCACCAUGCCUUGUUCAUUAUAAUCACGUCCUUGUUUACAGAAGCUAAACUUAGAGAAGCAACAUUUGGGACAUACACCAAUGUGCUAGAUGACAAGAAAUAGGUGUUCCAAGUAGAACUGCAUUGCGCAAUAAGAAAUAGUACCAGUCACCAUCACCAGGUUCCAUACUUGAUGCUUCCAUUAUAUUCUUGCACAAUACUUUCGCAAAAUCAUUGGACAUCACCAGUUUUUUUUUUUAAAAAAAAACAAUACAGGUCACCUACUGAAAAGUCAAUUCUCUAAGUACCUACUGGUCAUUUAGAAAUGAUUCAAAAUAUAUGCUAUUCAGCACCAGAUGGUUAACUUGCUCUUCAGAACUAAAAUACAUUCUACACUGGCUCUUUCCACUUGAAUGACACACGGUACAUCCACCAGCUCCCCAGCAUUCCAAUGAGAUGUAGCACCCUCCCGUCUGCUAAUUCAAUGGUUCCAAUUGAAAAAAACUUGUAAUCUUCAGUAUUAACAUUUCUUGUACGCAUGUACUGCAGAAAAAUACAAAAUGUUUAGUUCAAAUAGCUAAGCACAUAAAGGAGCAUACUAAGACAGGAAAGAAAAUAGAAAUUUGAAUAUUGAUGUAGAUGUGUGUCACUCUAUUGGUAUAAUAGAUAAUUGCUUCAAUAAAAUCCAUAUUUGCAAUUAUUAAGUCAUAAUUCAAACAAAUAUCCAAUAAAAUGGACUCGCUAAAAUGUAAGCAGAACUCAACCAAAUACUACCUCUAACUAAUAAAAGAUUUAACUUUGAAUUCUCCUUUUUCAAGUGUGCUGCAGUGGAACGCAUGGAAAGAACUGCAAGCAUACCGUUCAAUGGGGAAAAAAGGCACAUGAGCCUUAGUCUAAUGGUUUAACUACUGCGUCUGUGUUCGUUGAUAUAUCAUUUGCCACGGUGUAGUUGCACUAAAACAUUAUGUCAGCUUAUCAAAUCAUCACUAUAUCGCUAUACAGGAAAAUGAUCUCAAAUCUCGGGGGAAAUCAUUCAACAUCUCUAAUCCUGAAGCAGCCGUGACAGUUCAUGUUCAAGUGAAAAAAAGAAAGAAAAGAAAAGGUACACAGAGGUAGCAUAAAGAAUCUCCCAGACAUUAUAACUUUGUGAUUCUUCAUGAGAGACAGAGUUCUUGGAGCUUUUAUACUUAUGCCUAAAAUACAGUAAGGAACUACCUUAAAUACUUACAGAGGUGUGGCAAAAGGACCCAAAACUUUGUCCGGGGGGAAAAAAGAGCACCCAAAACACAAAUUUUGAUGAGAGUAAAACACUGAAUGACUGAAUCCCCAAAAGGCCCAAACUUUGUUUAUACAAGUUUAGCAUACCAUUAAUUGGGAUACUAAGAAAUAAUAUAAAACAUUUGCCGUAAAAAAAAGAAAUAAUCUAAAACAGACCCAAAGCUGUCAGGACUCAGGAAUGUGAUCAUUUUUAAUCCUUUGUAUAAGUUUUUUUUGCAUACGUCAGAAGCUUGGAAUCCUAGCGGUAGGAUCGCCCCUCAAAACCAUUUCUCUAAAGGUCAUAGGAUAGGAGCACAUCCAUACGGAUCGUGACCUUGACAAACUGAUAUGGUGAUUUUAUUAAUUGGUUUGAAACAAAAAAAAAUGUCAGCCUUCUUUGAUCCUUGGGGCUGAUGGGACGUUUCAGGAUUAUGUGAACUGUAAAAAAGGGUUAUGAGAGUGAAAGUUACUACCAUAUUGAAAGCAUUUCAGAAUCUGAAUCAGAUGAUACUGACGUAGAACUACUGUAGAUCCGAUUUAAAUUGCAAGCAUCCACUACACCCCUAAUAAGACCUAAAAGAGAAAUAAAAAAUAUACACAAAACUCACCUCCUCCUUGGACACAGCAUGGUUUUGACCCAUCUCCCUAUGUCGAAGCUGAAAUAAUUAAUGGCAUAUUAGUUAGAAAGAAAAAAAAAAGACAGACUGCCCUCCUUUGAGUCAACUCUUGCAUGGCAUGAUGAAAUAUGAAACAUCAUACCAUGUUGAGAAACACAAAACAGUACUUGCAUACAUAUUUACUCAUAUAAAAAUAUAAAAUAAUAAAAUAAUAUACACAUUUUACUAACCUCCUGAAGAAACAAAUAUAUUGAAUAGUGGCUAGGUCUCGAGCAGUAGAUGAGAAGCAAAAUAUUUAGGGCAAGACCUAACGGGCUGUGCAACCCAGAAAUAAUCAGAAAAAUCAAUCCAACUGGCAGCUGAAGUUUCCUGACCAAAGGCCAAAAUGAAGGCCCACGCUCGGUUUUCAAAGAUCCCGUGGUUGGUCCAGCUAUGGCUUUUGAUGGUUGCUCUGCGAAACCAAAUUAGAAAAAUAAACACCAUUCAUUAGGGACAACCAGAAAAAAAAACUAAAAUCAAUAUUCAACAGAAAAAAGGCUCUACAGGUGUGAAUGGAAACUAGUUAUAAGCAGGUAGCUAGGGAUAAGUCUGUACAAUAGAAAUAAACCAGAUUAGAGGACCAGUCAACAUGAAUAAACUGAUUUUAAGAGUUAGUGCUUGAAGUCCUUGACUGAUUAAACUGGACCAGUCCAUAAGCCCAGUUAUUUUCCCAAACAUUGCAAAGUUUAAGCAACAAGUAGUCUUUGACUAUGUUUAAGAAACCAGUUAUUUUCCCAAAUGUUGUGGAUUUUGAAUUUUGCAUAACAUUUAGGCGCUAGCACUUCGAUCAUGUGUUAGAAAAAUGUUGUUGCUAUGAGUCCAUGAGCCUUUGUAUGCCAUUGACCACUCAUUGGGACCAUCUUAUGUGUUUUCUGUGGGGUGGUGAAAAGAGAACCCGUACUUCAAAUUAUUUUCAACGUGUCUAGAGGGAGAAUUUCACCUUUUGUGGCAGCAGUAACCUGUCCCUGAUGAAGCGUCAUCGCUAGCAUGGUGCUUGUUCCAAAUCCUUUUAUCAGAUUGAGACCUAAUGGAAAAUAAAGCACAAAAUCAAAAUCAUUAAGAGUUAGCCCAUGGAACUGACACUCUAGAAGUCUUGAAGGGUCUUGACAAAAUAAUACUACUGGAAAACAAGCAUAUACUGAAUCGGUAAAGUAAUUUGCUGAAUGCACAAGUAAACCACAUAAUUUUCCGCCGAUUCAUGAUCGAUAAUAAACGGCAUACUACUAAUGUCGAGUGAGUGAGACAAACAUGGCGCACGAUCGUAGGGGACUAGGGGUCACCUACUCCACUCACCUGACAACUGCGGCCGGAGACCAAGGGCUACUCUCGCGGUGAGCGAAGGCCCGAACUCGGCAGCGCGAGGCUGGAAAGCGGGGCUCGAACAGCGCGCGAGGAACUGGCGAAUAGGGCUGGCGGCGACUGGUGCGCGGGAGGAGCAGGACGCAGCGGCGGCGGCGGCGGCGGAAAAGGCGCGCGUGGAGGCGGUGGGCGCGGUGGCGGAGCCCCGUCGCAGCGAGGCCGCGACGGCCUCCCUCGCCAGCCGCCGACACGCCAUCAUCGUGCGUGGCCUCUCUCCCGUAGCUUGUUGCCGUGUCUCGUCCUCUCGUGCGCGGAGCGGAAGGGGAAGUAGAGCGGCUUCGCUUCGGGGAGUCGGAACGGACGCGGAGGCGGAGGCCAAGAGGUUGUUGGGCCGCGUUGGGCUUAGCCGACUCCGUCUCGUUCUCGCUCGUCGAGAGAGAGAGAUUAGGGCCCGGUGGACCGAACCGUCCUUAGUUAGUUCUCGGACUUUAUGGGCCCAUUUGUAGACUUGCCUCGGCCGCCGCCGCCGCCGGCCGUGUCGAUUCAUCUGCUGGCUGCGGCGAGUCCCUCGUAUCUCACCGCCGACGCCGACGCCGACGCCGUCGCCGUCCUCUCCCCUAUCGCCUCGCGCGCUCCCCGCCGCCCCUUCGGCCUCCAUCUGCUGCCUCGCGGCGUUGCCUCCCGAUGGCGUUCCGAGGCCGUGGAAGAGGGGGCCGCGGGAGAGGUGGGGGCUUCGGGUACGACCACCCGGCCAAGCACACGCCGCACGAGGACUUCCCGGUCAGUCUCCGCUCCACAACCACCCCCCCCCCCCCCCCCACCACACACACACCCGCCCACCCUCCGCUCCGACCUUGCAUUGUGUGGUGCGGUAGAAGUAGAACUGAUGUGCUGCGUGCUUGCAAAAUGAACACUUGAACAGGACAUCACCCUGCCAGAGAUGACGUGCGCCAAGGCGAGCAAAGAGGAGAAGGCGCUGAUUGUGUCCACCUUGAAACUCGAGGAGUUCUGGAAGAGUUCUUGCUACUACCUGGAGGAGGAUGCUCCCAAGAAAAGUACUGGGUCUGAACCUAUCACGGUUUUUCUUUUUGUUCAUUUUAUUACUGAUUCUUCGUAAUGGUAAUGCUCCUUAUCUUGGGUUCUGCUGCUUGAUUGCUCGGAAGUCAAGAUUUGCUUUAAACCUGUUGGGUAGGCAGUCGACCCUGUAAAUUUGGAGGCAGAAACUUA